rnacentral:lncRNA from 1 species
ACACACACGUACACAUACGGAAAGAAAGAGAGAUCACACGAAAGUCAUCCAAAUGAAAAGGUGUUAUAUAAUGGACACCAAUUUAUUAUUACAUGUACCUUAGAAAAUAUAUUAUUACAUGAUGCUGCAUAUCCAACAGUCGAACAAAUGCGACACCGUGAUGAUACAAAAAUGAAGGGAAAUACAUUAAUUAGUUAAACAACUGACACCGAUAAAUGUAAAUAAACAAUAGAAACUCAUAUAGUAUACAUAACAACAUAUCAUGCCAAUAUAUCAGCAAGGAAUAAUAAACAGUUGACACACAGGUGAGAUGCGUACUGAUGCAUUUAACACGCGUUGUGGUCCUCUUUGACCGGCCUCAGUUAUUAAUGGCCCAACUUGCAUAUGUCAUAGGCCCACUCAUUGCAGUCUACCUUGUAUUUCAGAUAGUCGACGACGCAGAUAUGAAAUUCGAUUCGGAAACACUUGAGUUUGCAAGGAAAAAUACAUCUUGCUUCGUGUAUCUCCUGCCUUUGGUAUGCCACCGUCGGUGUAGCCAUCAACAGCUGUCCGGCAAACAGUGCCAGCAUGAGAGCGGCAGCCAUCUUAAGCGCGGAGCUGGAAGCCAUUGGAGGUGCGGAAGGACGUUGUUAGUCGGAGCUCUCAGGAAAUGUGUAAGUGCUUAUUUGUGGUGGCUAGCUAGCUUGGUGAUGAUGUGAGUGCAGAUCUCGGGCUCCUAUUUAUAGGCACAAGGAGCGAUUAAUUAGUCCAUCUCGUUUCCCAUGCAUAAUCUCAGAUCUAACACGUACUACUGGAGUAGGAGCAUUAAGUAUCUUGAUCCUUCAUGAACCUCACGCAUGCAUGAAGUAGUUUGACUUUGGCGUAUCCCCAUGCAUGUGGAAGAUCGCAGGCCAGCUCUAUGCAUCCACCGCCAAAUGCAUAGUCCACUCAACACCCAAUAGAUAAUCCUGAUGCGUGUGCCACGCAGUGGAUUUAAAAAUUAAAAUUAUGUACCCUCAAGAUUCAACAAGUCUCAAAAACAUGAAUCACUAGCAGAAAAAGGGCCUUUAGUCCCGAUUCGAUUGGGCCAUUAGUCCCGUUUCGCGAACCGGGGACUAAUGCUGACCCGGGGCUAAUAGCCUGUCACGUAGCGGGGUUGGGAGCGCGCGCGGGGGGUACGAACCUGUACUAUUUCUUCGCUGUUUUUUAGCAAUUUUUGGGUUUAGGGUUUUGCACUAAAUUGGAUGAGCUAUUUUGUUGCCCCGUGUUUUCCCAUUUAUUUGUUACAUAUAUAUUGCACAUCGUCACGAAUAUAUUACACCAUCUCAUCGUCGUGCUUUGUCGAACAUAUUUAUAAAAUGUAGACACGAGUUAGAUGCACAUAUAUGCAUCUUUUUUACACUAUAUNNNNNNNNNNNNNNNNNNNNNNNNNNNNNNNUUUUUACACUAUAUCAUUUCAUAUCAUUUCCCUCGAAUGACAAUAGUAUUCAAAUCGAGCAUCUAACAACUCAUCAUCAUCUUAAUCAUAUACCAAGUUAUCAUAUGAUACACAUAAAAUAAAACAGAGAAACAUCAUAAUAUAUAGUCAUCGUAUGCAUGCAUCCUAAUCGAUCAUGUCAAGUAAUAAUAUAAACCAGAAUAACUUGUCUCUCAUAAGACCUAGUCCUCGCUCUUAGGUAUAUUGUCAUAAACAGAAUAACACCUAUGUCUCCAUGAUGAAGCACAUAGAUCCAACGGUCUCCAACUUGUGGCUUGCGAACCUUCUUUAUUUCUCUCCAUGCUUCAAUUUGGAGCCUUUUUGAUCUUGAUUUGAGGUUACUCGAGUAUGGAGCAUCGAACUCAGCCCUCAGCGGGCUUCUAAUUUUCAUUUGACCUUCUGAGUGCAUCAACAGAGGCACUAUAUCAUGUGACAGUUGCUGUUGAAGAACAUAAUAAUAACCUAGCUAGUAAUGUAAUCAAACCAUUUAUGCAAUAGUAGAGCGUACUUAAUUAGGAAACUCUUACCAAGCUAUUUCGGCAAAUGUCAUCCGGCCUCAACCUAUGCACUAGUGGCCUGUAAAAUGUAUAAUUUUGGCAAAUUUCAAAAUUAUAAGGGAAGGUAUCCCUAGAAACCAGAACACCGGCAACAAGAAAGUGGAGAAGAACAUCCUUCUCCUCCCAAGUUAGAUGUGAUCCAUGCGUGUAGUGUGUCGUGUCAAUUAAUUUCUGUAAUUCACUCGAAGAAACGAAAUAAGCUGUAAAUUAUGAUUUAACAAAUUUAGUAUAUGGAUGAACACAAACUAUUUUUAAAUAUAAAUGCAAAUUACUUGACAAAUAUGGUUGAGAAACUCACAUGGAGGUAAAACAGGAAGCAUAUCAUCGACAACCACCCAAAUGUCGAUGUUGCCUGGCAUAUGAUCUUCAGGACGAAGAUCGAAAGUUAUUUCCAUACCCUCCUCACAUCCAUAUGCCUUGCAAAGAUCUUUCCACUUUAGGCACCCAAAUUAUGUUUAAAAAACUGAAUUAAAUACUUUGAUAACAAAUGUGUGACCAUGUAUAGUCCUCAGGUUAGCGCUCCUCGUCUCAAUUCUCUCGUGGUCUUCGAAACCGAGCCUCUCCAACACAUAUCUUCUUGCAUUGCAAGGGAGGAACAUAUCUCCAUUCCCGUCAAGCUUCAUGCUGAAGAACCUAUCGUCUCGCAGGUGAGGCGUGUCACACAUACCCCGACAGUCGCCGCAAUACUAACACUCCCAAUAUUCAUCGUCAAACAUUUCCUGUUUUAAUGUGGUAAAUGUAUAAACAGCAAUCAUGACACUAUAUCGAAAGAAUUGAACAUCUAUAUAUAAACAUAGCAGUAGGCACUAAAAUUAUCAUUGAAGAACACUCUCUUAUAAUAAUUCAAUUUAUGCAAUACUAUUUAUUACUAUAUACCAUAUGCAGUAGGCACUAGAAUUAUCAUUGAAGAACACUCUGUUAUAAUAGUUCAAUUUAUGCAAUACUAUUUGAUGCUAUAUACAUUAUCUUAAAAAAAUGCUAGCCCAUAUUGUAUAAGGUUAUGUGCAUAUUUCUCCCAACUUCUAUUGAGGGGUACCAUAUAAGCUACCAUAUGGAUGGAAUUCUUAUGUAUUUUUUCUAAGUAAAGCAGACGUGUAUAUAGCUAGCCAUAAGGAUCAAAUUAAUACACAUUUUGUCCGAUCCUUCUUCUUAGGUAGCUGAAAAUUCACAGAGAUGUAUGAUAACCCACAAGUAUAGGGGAUCAAUUGUAGCCUUUCUCGAUAAGUAAGAGUGUCGAACCCAACGAGGAGCUAAAGGUAGGAAGAAUAUUCCCUCAAGUUCUAUCGAUCACGGAUACAACUCUACGCACACUUUACGUUCGCUUUACCUAGAACAAGUAUGAAACUAGAAGUACUUUGUAGGAGUGAAAGGAUAGGUUUGCAAGAAAAGAAAAAACACGUAAAUAAAAACUAGGGGCUGGUUAGAUAAAGAAACAAUUACGUUAGUUUAACGAGUGUGGAAAAGUGGUGGUAGGAGUUGCGGAAUUGUCCCUAAGCAAUUGACUACGUUACUAGACCGAUGGCAAGUUUUAUGUGGGAGAGGCCGCUGCUAGUAUGUCAUCCCUUACUUGAAAUUCAAUGCACUUAUGAUUGGAACUAUUAGCAAGCAUCCGCAACUACUAACGUUCAUUAAGGUAAAAACCAACCAUAGCAAUAAGAUAUAUUGGUCCCCGUUCAAUCCCAUAUGCAUCAAUUUCUAUGCUAGGCUGAAGCUUCUGUCACCCUUGCCCUCCAAUACAUAGUCCUAUCAACAUACUACUAACCCUAUGGUGUGAUCCACGCGUGCUCUCAUAUGAUGGGCACCAAAGGACAGCAACAUAACCACAAGAAAAUUAAACCAAUCAUAGCAAUUCAUCAAUCACCGAUAGGACAACGAAAAUCUACUCAGACAUCGUAGGAUGGCAACACAUCAUUGGAUAAUAAUAUGAAGCAUAAAGGACCAUGUUCAAGUAGAAGGUACAGCGGGUUGCGGGAGUGUGGACCGCUGAAUAUAGAUGGGGGAAGGUGAUGGAGGUGUUGGUGAAGAUGACGGAGGUGUUGGUGUAGAUCGCCGUCACAAGAUGAUGUCCCGGGCGGUGUUCCGGCGCCGCAGGGAGAGAGGGGGAGAGAGCCUCCUUCUUCCUCUUCUUCCUUGACCUCCUCCCUAGAUGGGAGAAGGGUUUCCCCUCUAUUCCAUGGUCUCCAUGGCGGCGGAGGGGCGAGAGCCCCUCCGUGAUUGGAUCUCUCUCUGUGUGUCCUUCUGUUUCUGCGCUCCCAGAUUGUGCCUUUUACCGUUUCUUAAAUUCCCGGAGAUCCGUAACACCGAUGGGGCUGAAAUUUUAACACGAUUUUAUUCCAGAUAUUAGCUUUCCUAUGGCGAAAUAAGGGCCGCAACCGCCUUAGGGACUGGUCACAAGCCUGCCAGACGCGGCCCCACCCCCAGGUCGCGGCUAGGGGGCUUGUGACCCCCUCGGCUAUUGUUUCGCGUUGAUUCUUCUUCNNNNNNNNNNNNNNNNNNNNNNNNNNNNNNNNNNNNNNNNUUGAUUCUUCUUCCCAAAAAUCAUAGAUAUUACAAAAAAAUCCCCGUUGCUUUUUUUGUUGCAUUUGGACUUUGUUUGGUAUGGAUAAUCUUCGAAACAAAAACCAUGCAACAAACAGGAACUGGCACUGGGCACUGGAUCAAUAUGUUAGUCCCAAAAAUUGUAUAAAAAGUUGCCAAAAGUAUAUGAAAGUUGUAGAAUAUUGGCAUGAAACAAUCAAAAAUUAUAGAUAUGAUGGAGACGUAUCAAUAUACUUCUCACAAUGAUGGGAAGGAUUCAUUUCUAUCAAUUAUGGUAGUUUGUGCCACAUAAACAGAAAAUGGAUGCAGUAUGUCUAAUCAUGAAGCCUACCAAUAAAGGUGUUUAUAUUGUGUUAUCAUUGUUUGAAUACCAAAGAAUUUAUUCUUCAGUAUGUUGUUUGGAAUUUAUAAUAUUGCAUAUAUUUUACGUGUUAUUAGAGUUGUGUGAAUAAUUCUGCAUCCAUAUAAUAUCUAGGUCGUGCUGACGCACGGGUUUAUGACUAGUAUAGGCCACACGGACAUUCCGGCAAAACUUAGCACAACUAAUUAGCAAGCNNNNNNNNNNNNNNNNNNNNNNNNNNNNNNNNNNNNNNNNNNNNNNNNNNNNNNNNNNNNNNNNNNNNNNNNNNNNNNNNNNNNNNNNNNNNNNNNNNNNUUUCUGGGGGUUUCUGAAUUUAUAGGAAUUUAUGGCGGUGGAAUUGCGUCAGUUGGGCCCACGAGGGGGUAACAAGCCUGCACGGUGCGACCUAGGGGGUAGGUCGCGCCCCAUGGGCUUGUGACUCCCUCGUGGCUCUUCUGGCCUUCUUCCAAAGCUUCGGGGGUCUCUUUUGGUCCCAAAAAAAUCAUCAUAAAGUUUCAUUCCAUUUGGACUCCGUCUGAAAAAGGGUCAAAAACACGGAAAAAACAAAAAGUGGCACUUGGCACUGAGUUAAUAGGUUAGUCCCAAAAAGAUAUAAAAUAGCAUAUCCAUGCAUAUAAAACAUCCAAAGUUGACAAGAUAAUAACAUGGAACCAUAAAAAAUUAUAGAUACGUCGGAGACGUAUCACACCACAGUAUCACCGCUUGGAGCAGCGCCGCCCCCACACUCAACAACAUCGACCGAGGGGUCCCACCUCUGCCACGCCAUCAGGGCUUUGCCCGACGAUGCUUCCGGUAGUGACGAGAGGAGAGGGAGGUGCAGGGGGCUUGCUAAAGCCCACAGGGGCACCCCGAUGCAGCCGCACGAGAGCGGGACCGGGAGAGGAGGAGGGCCCGAUUCGAGCUCUUCAGUGGGGAGAGAGUCGCUGAAAAUGGCGAUGGGCUUCGGGAUAGAUGGAGAGAGGACGCCGCGAGGGUCCAGGAUCCGUGCUUGGCUCGGGUGAAGGUGGCCUGAUUAAAUGUCAGUUUUUGACAUCUUUUCACACAUGAUGCAAGUGAAAUAUGUCUCCACUCCGGUCGCAUCGCAACUUUGCUUCGCAGCAUGCACAAUAUAUCUAUCACCGCACAUGAUUAUGAUGUAAGAAACGUUUGUGACUCUUUANNNNNNNNNNNNNNNNNNNNNNNNNNNNNNNNNNNNNNNNNNNNNNNNNNNNNNGAAACGUUUGUGACUCUUUACGUAUAGCAAACGUUUACUUCAGGAGUCGACGUGUGGGAAACAUCGGGGCAUCACAUACCAUUGUGGUGUUGAAAUUAGUAGUGGGCCUUAGGCCCAUAAGAGAAUUUCAGAAAUCUCCAAGGGCCCAUGUAGGUGGUGGCAUGACAAAGUGGUUGUGGGAAGUUUAGUCCCACCCCGCUAGUGGAGGAGAAGUUGGACCCCUUUAUAAGGGUCUCUCUUCUACAUGUUAUUGGAGAGUGAGAAGAGAAGAGGCCCUCGCGCACUCCUCCUCCGCCGCCCGCCUCCCCAUGCCUCCUCACGCCGCGUCGCAUCGCGUCGUGCCGUGGGAAUGAGCCGAGCCGACCUCAUACCUACGCGCUUAUUUUUGCCGAUCAGGAUCGGAGAAUACGUAACAGGUGCGCCACGAUCUGAGACGUCGGACCGUGGCCUGUUACCGACUCAGACGGGGGUUCGGCCCAUGUCUCUCCACCUGGCCACCUAUAUAAGCAGGGCUAACACCAACCCUAGCCGUCACGAGAUUAGAUCGCCUCUGCCUCACGCGCUCAUUCCUUUGUUGCUGCUGCCGCCAGCGACUCCGUCCUGUUUACCGCGUACACGGUCGACAGGAGAGCAGGCCUCCCAAACCCCGCCUCUUCGGUUCUUGUACGGGAGAGGGGCGAUUAGGUUUUUGGGGAGCGAUCACGCGACUGCUCGCCUCCGUCCGUCUGCUUCCUCUACAUCCACGUGGUCCUCCUCAUCGCCAUGGAUGAACCAUCCGAGGCCGAUCGUCUCGCCCUUGAAGCUGAGAAGAAGGCGGUAGAGGAUGCUACCACCGCCAACUCUGCUGCUACGGCCAAGUGGCCGGCCGAAGGGUAUGACCUGUUUAUCCCACUCCUAUUCGUUUUGAUCCUACUAGUACUACUUGCAUGCAUAGAUGUAUCAACUAUAUGGGUAGUAUGUGCUAGAUUAGUUCAUGAUCAGUAUAUCAUUAGUCUAGUCAGUGUCAUGCUAGUUAUUAUCUACUCAAAAAAUUGCCUAUUUACUCAACAAUCAAAAAACCUAAAUUGUGUAGGAAUUUUUCGAGUAAUGGUUUUGCUACUGAACUGAAAUCGGAUAAGUUUACCGGUACUUAUUUCAAGCGUUGGCAAACAAAAACCGCCUUAUGGCUCACAGCUAUGAACGUGUUAUGGGUAGCCGGUGUCACUCCCACGGGAACGAUCUCUUCUGAACAGGAGAAGAUGUUCGCGGAGGCCACCGUCCUAUUCCUUGGAGAAGUUAUAAGCGUGAUUGGAGAUAAGAUGGUUGAUGCAUAUUUGCAUAUGCAUGUUGCCAAAGAGCUGCGGGAGGCGCUCGAAUCUAAAUUCGGGGACACUGAUGCUGGGAAUGAGAUGUAUGUUAUGGAGCAGUUCCAUGAUUACAAAAUGGUUGACAACCGUUCUGUAUUGGAACAGGCUCAUGAGAUAAUAUGCAUAGCUGAAGAACUUGAGGUUCUUAAGUGCAAUUUGCCGGGCAAGUUUGUCGCGGGCUGUAUAAUUGCUAAGCUCUCUAAUUCCUGGAGGAACUUUGCUACUACUCUGAAACAUUAGAGGCGUGAGUUCUUAGUAGAGGACAUCAUCGGCCAUCUGAGUGUUGAGCAGAACUCGAGAGCAAAGGACUCCAAUGGAAAAGCAGUCGAAAGCUCUUCUGUUGCCAAUAUGGUACAUCAGAGGAACUUCAAUUCCCACAAGCCCAAGGGAAAGAAUUAUGUCCAACAGAAUACCGACUUCAAGAAGAAGGGAAAGAAGACCUUCAAGAAGAAUAAGAAGGGAGAGGGUUGCUUUACUUGUGGUUCAGAUGAACAUUGGGCGAACAAGUGCCCAAACAAGUACAAGAAGUUGGCGCGGGACUCCAAGUCUGCCAAUAUGAUUAUGGGCAACAAUGAAAGUGGUGCAUCUGGGUAUGGUAAUUUAUUUACUGUAUUUUCAGUUUGUCAGUCCAUCGAUUGGUGGGUGGAUAUGGAUGCAAAUAUUCAUGUGUGUGCUGACAUCUCAUUGUUCUCUUCUUAUCAGGCCACGGUUCGCGGGUCCGUGUUGAUGGGGAAUGGCGCGACUGCUUCUGUUCUUGGUGUUGGCAUGGUCGAUCUGAAGUUUACUUCGGGAAGGAUCGUGCAGCUGAAGAACGUGCAACAUGUCCCCGCCAUCAAGAAGAACCUCAUUAGUGGCUCCCUUCUGUGUAGAGAAGGGUUUAAGUUGGUAUUCGAGUCUAAUAAAGUAGUUGUUAUGAAAUAUGGACUUUUUGUUGGUAAAGGUUAUGAAUGCGCAGGUCUGUUCUGCCUUUCCCUUGCAGAUUUUUCUAAUAAAGUGGUGAACAAUAUUCAUUCGAGUGUUAAUGAAUCUAAAGUUUGGCAUUCACGUCUUUGUCACAUAAGUUUCGGUGUUAUGUCAUGGCUAGCAAAACUGAAUUUAAUCCCGACUUUCACUUUAGCCAAUGGUUCUAAGUGUCAUUCAUGUGUGCAAGCAAAGCAACCUCGCAAGCCUCACAAGGCUGCAGAGAAGAGACAGUUGGCACCAUUAAAACUCAUACAUUCUGAUAUUUGUGAGAUGAAUGGUGUGUUGACUAAAGGUGGAAAGAAAUAUUUCAUGAAAUUGAUAGAUGAUUCCACUAGAUAUUGCUAUAUGUAUUUGUUAAAUACUAAAGAUGAGGCUCUACACUACUUUAAAAUCUAUAAGGCAGAAGUUGAGAAUCAACUUGAAAAGAAAAUUAAACGAGUCCGGUCUGAUCGUGGUGGAGAGUACUUCUCAAAUGAGUUUGAUUCUUCUUGUGCGGAACACAACAUUAUUCAUGAAAGGACGCCUCCGUAUCCACCCAAGUCAAACGGGGUUGCCGAACGGAAAAAUCAUACUCUAACUGAUUUGGUUAAUGCAAUGUUAGAUACAUCGGGUUUAUCCAAGGCAUGGUGGGGAGGCUAUAUUGACCGCGUGUCAUGUCUUGAAUAAGGUUCCUANNNNNNNNNNNNNNNNNNNNNNNNNNNNNNNNNNNNNNNNNNNNNNNNNNNNNGAUAAUGAGGUCACUCCCUAUGAGGAGUGGUUGAAGAGAAGGACGAUGCUCUCAUACUUACGUACUUGGGUCUGCUUGGCGAAAGUCAAUGUGCCUAUCCCCAAGAAGUGUAAGCUUGCACCAAAGACUAUGGACUGCGUUAAUUUGGGAUACGCUAGGAAUAGCGUAGGCUAUAGAUUUCUAGUAGUGAAAUAUGAGGUUCUUGAUGUGAAGGUCGAUACAAAUAUGGAGUCGAGGGAUGCUACAUUCUUUGAGGAUAUCUUUCCCAUGAGAGAUAUGCAAAGCACUUCUAGACAUGAAUCCAAGGAAACUCCUGAGCCUGCCUUUCCUACGGAAUAUUAUGAACAAACACAUGAUGAUAAUCCCGAGGAGGAUGACGAGGAAACCCUUGGUAGGGUCAAGAGACAAAGGACUGCAAAGACCUUUGGUGAUGAUUUCUUCAUAUACCUCAUGGAUGAUAAUCCCACUUCUAUUUCAGAAGCAUAUGCUUCUCCAGAUGUUCAUUACUGGAAAGCUGCGGUCCGUAGCGAGAUGGAUUCCAUCAUGGAUAAUGGGACAUGGGAAAUUACUGAUCGUCCCUAUGGUUGUAAACCACUGGGAUGCAAGUGGAUGUUCAAAAGGAAGCUUAGGCCCGAUGGUACAAUCGAAAAGUACAAGGCUAAGCUUGUGGCUAAGGGCUAUGCCCAGAAAGAAGAAGAAGAUUUCUUUGACACUUAUUCACCUGUGGCCAGACUGACCACCAUUCGAGUACUACUCUUGUUGGCAGCCUCGCAUGGUCUUCUUUUUCAUCAAAUGGAUGUUAAGACGGCUUUGCUAAAUGGAGAGCUAGACGAGGAAAUCUAUAUGCAACAGCCAGAUGGCUUUGUGAUAGAUGGUCAGGAAGGAAAAGUGUGUAAGUUGUUGAAAUCUUUAUAUGGCCUGAAGCAAGCACCUAAGAAAUGGCAUGAUAAGUUUAAUACAACUCUGACAGCUAUUGGCUUCGUUGUUAAUGAAGUUGACAAGUGUGUAUACUAUCGCCAUGGUGGGAGCGAAGGAGUUAUACUGUGCUUGUAUGUUGAUGACAUACUGAUAUUUGGAACCAACCUCAAGGUGAUUGAGGAGGUUAAGUCCUUUCUGUCUCAAAACUUUGAGAUGAAGGACCUUGGAGUGGCUGAUGUUAUCUUGAACAUCAAGCUUUUGAGAGAUGAUGAGCGUGGGAUUACACUUCUGCAAUCCCACUAUGUUGAGAAGAUUUUGAGUCGCUUUGGAUAUGCAGACUACAAAAUUCCUCAAACACCAUAUGAUCCUAGUGUGCUAAUUCGAAAGUUAAAAGGCACAACUAUAGAUCAAUUGAGAUUCUCUCAAAUUAUCGAUUCGCUUAUGUACCUAGCUAGCGCAACGAGGCCCGACAUCGUGUUUUCUAUGAGAAAACUUCGCCGAUUUGUUGCAAACCCGGGCGAUGUUCAUUGGCGUGUUGUUGAAAGAAUUAUACGCUACCUGAAAGGUAAUGUCAACCACGGACUUCACUAUAUGGGAUACCCAUCGGUACUUGAAGGGUAUAGUGAUGCGAAUUGGAUCUAUGAUGCUGAUGAGAUGAAGGCCACUACUGGGUAUAUAUUUACUCUUGGAGCUGGUGUUGUUUCCUAGAAGUCUUGCAAGAAAACAAUCUUAAUUAGAUCGACAAUGGAAGCAGAAUUAACAACAUUAGACACAUAUGGUGUCGAAGCAGAAUUUCUUCGAUAUCUUUUGAUGGACUUACCUGUGGUUGAGAAACUGGUUCUGGCUAUCCUUAUGAACUGCGAUAAUCAGACGGAUAUUGUCAAAGUGAAGAUUUCAAAGGACAAUAUGAAGAACAACAAACAUAUAAGAAUGAGAUUGAAGGUUGUCAGACGUUUGAGAAACUCCGGAGUGAUAGCAUUGGAUUACAUCCAAACGGCCAAGAAUCUUGCAGAUCCCUUUACUAAAGGUUUAUCACAUGUUAUGAUAGAUAGUGCAUCGAGGGAGAUGGGUAUGAGACCCACAUGAGUUGCCAUGGCAGUAACCCAACCUAUAUGAUCGGAGAUCGCAUGAAGUAGGACCUAGGAAAACAAGCCAGUGGUGAACUGAGGAGAGUANNNNNNNNNNNNNNNNNNNNNNNNNNNNNNNNNNNNNNNNNNNNNNNNNNNNNNNNNNNNUUGGAGAUGCAAUGCUCUCGGAUACUGUAUGGUAGGAUGACUACUGUCUUAAUGUGUUCUAAAGCUUAUGUGUAAGCAAGAUGCUGUCCUGUAGAGCGAUCUUUGGAGGAACACACCUAUAUGAGCCUGACUGCUGGUCACAGUCUAUGAGAUUGCGGCGAUCUCUAGUAAACUCAUGAAUAGGCCAGGAGUGUGACUAAUAUGCUCCACCCGAGGGGUCAGCCUUCGAUAGCCUAGUACUUGUUAGACUUGUGGUGAAGCUUCUUUACGCCAAAUUGACAAUAUAAGGCAUAGUCCAUUGUUCAGUUGUAAAGGGGUGUAGCUAUUUGUUCUAGGUGAAGCUCAACCUUAAUAGGUCUUCACUGAAAUGCUGGUAUAUUAGAACAGUGAUUGGAAUGAGGGAACACGAUGUGCCCUUGAGAUCUGGUGGGGGAUUGUAGAAAUUAGUAGUGGGCCUUAGGCCCAUAAGAGAAUUUCAUAAAUAUCCAAGGGCCCAUGUAGGUGGUGGCAUGACAAAGUGGUGGUGGGAAGUUUAGUCCCACCCCCCUAGUGGACGACAAUUGGACCCCUUUAUAAAGGUCUCUCUUCUACAUGCUACUGGAGAGUGAGAAGAUAAGAGGCCCUCACGCACUCCUCCUCCGUCGCUCGCCUCGUCACGACGCGCCGCGGGUUGCGGGAAUGAGCCGAACCGAGCUCAUACAUACGAGCUUAUUUUUUCUAGUCAGGCUCGGAGAACAUAUAACAGAUGUGCCACGAUCUGAGACGUCGGAUCGUGGGAUUUUACCGACUUGGACGUGGGUUCAUCCCACGUCUCUCCACCUGGCCACCUAUAUAAGCAGGGCUACCUUUGCUGCUGCUGCCGUCGGCGACUCCGGCCCGUUUAUCGCGUACACGGUCGACGGGAGAGCAUGCCUCCGAAACCCCGCCUCUCCGGUUCCUGUAGGGGAGAGGGGCGGUUAGAUUUUUGGGGAGUGAUCACGCGACUGCUCGCCUCCGUCCGUAUGCUUCCUCUACAUCCACGUCAUCCUCGUCAUCGCCAUGGCUGAACCAUCUGAGGCUGAUCGUCUCGCCCUUGAAGCUGAGAAGAAGGCGGCAGAGGAUGCUGCCGCCGCCAACUUUGUUGCUACGGCCAAGUGGCCGACCGGAGGGUAUGACCUGUUUAUCCCACUCAUGUUCGUUUCGAUCCUAGCAGUACUACUUGCAUGCAUAGGUGUAUCAACUAUAUGUGUAGUAUGUGUGAGAUUAGUUCAUGAUCAGUAUAUCAUUAGUCUAGUCAAUGCCAUGCUAGUUAUUAUCUCGUGGAUUAAUCUACUCGGAAAAUUGCCUAUUUACUCAACAUGUGGUUCCCAAAACUUCUUCAUCCUUGAGCCAUAUCUUGUAUUAUGUGGCAUGCUCCCCCACCCCUAUUGCACACCAUCGCUAGACAACUAUUCAAAUAUGUGUCAUGAAAAGGGUGGUUUAAAUCACUUGCUUAGGACUUAUUUGCGCUAUGGCACUAUUCUUCUAUAACAAGUGAGAUGGGAAAAUAUUUUGCAUCUGUUUAAAAUGAAAAGAUUCGUGACCUAUGAGGCUUCAACACUCACUACUAGAAAAAGAGUCUUUCGGCCGAGGGCCGAAAGACCAUUAGUCCCGGUUCAAAUGAAAAUCGGGACCAAUGCUAGGCAUUGGUCCCGGUUCGGUUUGCCGGGUCAUUGGUCCCGGUUCGGUUCACCUCACUAGUCCCGGUUUCGAGCAAAACCCAGGACUAAAGAUCCAGCGACUGCCACGUGGCGUGCCGCGUAGCACUAGUCCCGGUUUGUGGCAUAAACCGGGACUAAAGGGUAGGCUAUUAGUCCCGGUUUUAGACAAAAACCGGGACUAAAGUGUUGCCUAUAUAAGCCCUCGCCCCUGCCCACCCUCUCCUCUGUUUUNNNNNNNNNNNNNNNNNNNNNNNNNNNNNNNNNNNNNNNNNNNNNNNNNNNNNNNNNNNNNNNNNNNNNNNNNNNNNNNNNNNNNNNNNNNNNNNNNNNNUGCGGCGAAAGAAGGGCACCUACCACCUUAGGGAUUGGUGACAAGACUGCCAGGCGCGGCCCCACCCCCAAGCCGCGGCUAGGGGGCUUGUGACCCCCUCGGGCAUCGUUUCGCGUUGAUUCUUCUUCCCAAAAAUCAUAAAUAUUCCAAAAUCCCUGUAGGUUUUUUAUUGCAUUUGGACUUCGUUUGGUAUGGAUAAUNNNNNNNNNNNNNNNNNNNNNNNNNNNNNNNNNNNNNNNNNNNNNNNNNNNNNNNNNNNNNNNNNNNNNNNNNNNNNCGAAACAAAAAACAUGCAACAAAUAGGAACUCGCACUGGGCACUGGAUCAAUAUGUUAGUCCCAAAAAUAGUAUAAAAAGUUGCCAAAAAUAUAUAAAAGUUGUAGAAUAUUGGCAUGAAACAAUCAGAAAUUAGAGAUACGAUGGAGACGUAUGAGCAUCCCCAAGCUUAAUUCCUGCUCGUUCUCGAGUAGGUAAAUGAUAAAAAAGAUAAUUUUUGAUGUGGAAUGCUACCUAGCAUAAUCUUGAUCAUAUAAUCUAAUCAUGGCAUGAAUACUAAAACACGAGUGAUUGGAAGCAAUAGUCUAUCAUUUGACAUAAAGACAAUAAUAUUUCAAGCAUACUAACAAAGCAAUCAUGUCUUCUCAAAAUAUCAUGGCCAAACAAAGUUAUCCCUACAAAAUCAUAUAGUCUGGCUAUGCUCCAUCUUCCCCCACACAACGUAUGUAAAUCAUGCACAACCCCGGUUUUAGCCAAGCAAUUGUUUCAUACUUUAGUGUUCUCAAACUUUUUCAACUUUCACGCAAUACAUGAGCGUGAGCCAUGGAUAUAGCACUAUAGGUGGAAUAGAAUAUGGUGGUUGUGGAGAAGACAAAAAUGAGGAGAUAGUCUCACAUCGACUAGGCGUAUCAACGGACUAUGGAGAUGCCCAUCAAUAGAUAUCAAUGUGAGUGAGUAGGGAUUGCCAUGCAACAGAUGCACAAGAGCUAUAAGUUUAUGAAAGCUCAAAAAUAAACUAAAUGGGUGUGCAUCUAACUCGCUUGCUCACGAAGACCUAGGGCAAUUGAGGAAGCCCAUCAUUGGAAUAUACAAGCCAAGUUCUAUAAUGAAAAUUUCCCACUAGUAUAUGAAAGUGACAACAUAGGAGACUCUCUAUCAUGAAGAUCAUGGUGAUACUUUGAAGCACAAUUGUGGUAAAGGAUAGUAGCAUUGUCCCUUCUCUCUUUUCUCUCAUUUUUUAUUCUUUUUUAUUUUUAUUUGGGCUUCAUUGGCCUCUUUUAUUUUUUUCCUCACAUGGGACAAUGCUCUAAUAAUGAUGAUCAUCACACUUUUAUUUACUUACAACUCGAUAUUUAGAACAAAAUAUGACUCUAUAUGAAUGCAUCCGGCGGUGUACUGGGAUGUGCAGUGAUCUAGCGUAGCAAUGACAUCAAAAAACGGACAAGCCAUGAAAACAUCAUGCUAGCUAUCUUACGAUCAUGCAAAGCAAUAUGACAAUGGUGGUGCGUGUCAUAAUAAACGGAACGAUGGAAGUUGCAUGGCAAUAUAUCUCGGAAUGGAUAUGGAAAUGCCAUAAUAGGUAGGUAUGGUGGCUGUUCUGAGGAAGGGUAUAUGGUGGGUGUAAUGCACCAGCGAAAGUUGCGCGGUACUAGAGAGUCUAGCAGUGGUGGAAGGGUGAGAGUGCGUAUAAUCCAUGGACUCAAAAUUAGUCAUUAAGAACUCACAUACAUGUUGCCAAAGUCUAUUAGUCAUCGAAACAAGGUACUACACGCAUGCUCCUAGGGGAAGGGUUGGUAGGAGUUAACCACCUUGCGAUCCCGACUUCCACACAAAGGAUGACAAUCAAUAAAUAAAUCAUGCUCCCACUUCGUCACAUAACGGUUCACCAUACGUGCAUGCUACGGGAAUCACAAACCUUAACACAAGUAUUUCUACGAAUAAACAAUUACUCACUAGCUUGACUCUAAUAUCACAUCUUCAUGUCGCAAAUUUUUUGCAAGGAAUCAAACAUAUCAUAUUCAGUGAUCUACAAGUUUAAUGUAGGAUUUUAUGACUAACCAUGUGAAUGACCAACUCCUGUUAACUCUCUAAAUAGGUAUAAUUGAAGCAUGAGAGUUUAAUUUUUUCUACAAAAUAUAUGCCCCGCUCUAACAAAUAUAAGUGAAGCAAAAGAGCAUUCUACNNNNNNNNNNNNNNNNNNNNNNNNNNNNNNNNNNNNNNNNNNNNNNNNNNNNNNNNNNNNGAAGCACAUGAAGCAUGCUAUAAAGCCACCAAUAACUAUCUCAUACCAGCAUGGUGCAUAAAAGAAAAAGUAAAAAUAAACACAAAAGACGCUCCAAGCAUGUGCACAUAUNNNNNNNNNNNNNNNNNNNNNNNNNNNNNNNNNNNNNNNNNNNNNNNNNNNNNNNNNNNNNNNNNNAAUAAAAAUAUAGCUCCGAGUAAAAUUACCGAUAGAUUGUAGACGAAAGAGAGGAUGCCUUCCGGGGCAUCCCCAAGCUUAGACGCUUGAGUCUUCCUUGAAUGUUACCUUGGGGUGCCUUGGGCAUCCCCAAGCUUAGGCUCUUGCCUCUCCUUAUUCCUUCAUCCAUCGUGGUCUCACCCAAAAGUUGAAAACUUCAAUCACACAAAACUCAAAAAANNNNNNNNNNNNNNNNNNNNNNNNNNNNNNNNNNNNNNNNNNNNNNNNNNNNNNNNNNNNNNNNNNNNNNNNNNNNNNNNNNNNNNNNNNNNNNNNNNNNCACCCACCCACACCCACACACACACACAAUCUGGAGGAAUAGGGCUCCCCCAAAAUGCAAGGUCUUCACUUGGCUUAUCGUUCAAAACCGUGUGUGCAUCGAGGAUCGGUUGCAGCAGCGUGGAUGAACAAAANNNNNNNNNNNNNNNNNNNNNNNNNNNNNNNNNNNNNNNNNNNNNNNNNNNNNNNNNNNNNNNNNNNNNNNNNNNNNNNNNNNNNNNNNNNNNNNNNNNNNNNNNNNNNNNNNNNNNNNNNNNNNNNNNNNNNNNNNNNNNNNNNNNNNNNNNNNNNNNNNNNNNNNNNNNNNNNNNNNNNNNNNNNNNNNNNNNNNUCCAAGAUUGGUGGAUGAAGACGAUCAACACGAUUACACGGGAGGACACCUCAAGAAAGCAUUAGUCUCUCCUUUGAAGCUUGUCAUGUGGGAAAUUUGAAAGGAUCGAAAUGCGAGAGUCUUUCGCAACACGGCUUAGCCAACCAUCAUUAUUGUCGCUAAGAUCAAAGAGGAAGCCCAUCUUUGUGCGUUGGCGGAACUAAACACAUGAAUGCAUUNNNNNNNNNNNNNNNNNNNNNNNNNNNNNNNNNNNNNNNNNNNNNNNNNNNNNNNNNNNNNNNNNNNNNNNNNNNNNNNNNNNNNNNNNNNNNNNNNNNNNNNNNNNNNNNNNNNNNNNNNNNNNNNNNNNNNNNNNNNNNNNNNNNNNNNNNNNNNNNNNNNNNNNNNNNNNNNNNNNNNNNNNNNNNNNNNACAAGAAUCCCAUAGAACUUGUCGUACUUGAACAAAUCCAACUCCGCACCCACCGUAUGAGCAGUAGCAUGUAUGCUCCUCUACAAAGACCUAAGUAAUUGAAAACUUGAGAUGAUGUCGACGGUUUUGCAAGCACAUUCAUCCUUUUCUAAAUAAAAUAAAAAGCACAUUCAUAGCCCUUUGAAACAUACGAACAAAAAAAGCAAUGUGAAUAGAUUCCGAUGCUGUCUUUUCAUCAAUCUCUUUACUAUCAGUCCAACUAAUAGCGGCGUUCAACUACUCGCUAAUUCUUCUCCUCACGCAAGCAAAACAAACGUCCACCCCCCUUAUAAUUACCCGUGUUAUUGUCGUCUUCAAUCCACACACACGAAACUGACCUUGUCCGGACCGGCCGUGUUGCUUCCCAGGUACAGGUCGCCUACAAAUUUAAGCUGCCUAUAAAGGCCUGGUCCUCCUCCUUAAGUUCUUAGCCAGCUUCGCUUCUUCUCCAUCACAACAAAGCUUCCACCGCAAUCCUGCGUCCUACGCACGCGAGCCCGGCGGCAUGGAGCGGCAGGAUCUGGGCGCAUGGCUUGGCCUAGCAACAGGCGGCGGCGCCGUGUGGCACCCCCACGACGGCGAGCGGCGGCCUGACCCGGUUCGGCUCAACGCGCUGUUCCCGCGGCACGGCAAAGAAGAGCGUGAUCAAGACGAACAAAAGACGGGAGGGAAAGGUGCAAGGCGGAAGAUGAAGGUCGCCUAUGACGACGGCCGAUCGUCCUCGUCGAACGGUCCGUGUCUGAGCGAUGGCGGUGGUAGCGACUCCGGCGGGGGCAGGAGGAAGAAGCUCCGCCUCACCAAGGAGCAGUGCGCCCUGCUCGAAGGCAGCUUCCGUGCCCACAACAUACUUUCUCAUGUACGCAAUUUUGAAAACUGCUUCCAAGGCUUAUAUGCCUGAACUUCUGAUCUGCAUCUAGCUACAGCUACCGAUAAGAUUGUUCUUGACGUCCGUGUGGCAUGCACAUGCAGGUUAAGAAGCAGGAGCUGGCGCGGCAACUGAAGCUGAGCUCGAGGCAGGUGGAAGUAUGGUUCCAAAAUAGAAGAGCCAGGUACGUACUACGUUCCUAGCUCCGCCAAGAAGUCAGUGUGUUGAUCCAUCAGUAAUUUAUACAGGUUGAGAUCUUGUCCUAAAAUUCUCUGUGAAUGCAAAACAGAACAAAGCUGAAGCAGACGGAGGUGGACUGCGAGUUCCUGAGGCGGUGGUGCGAGAGCCUGACCGACGAGAACCAGCGGCUGAAGCACCAGCUCCUGGAGCUGCAGCGGUCCGCGGCGGCUGCGCCGGCGGCGGCCGGCUCGAAGCUCUUUGCGCAGCUCCCCAGGGCAGCGGCCAUGGUGAACUUAUGCCCGUCCUGCGACAAGGUGGCCGUGAAGAACUAGCCUCCGCAUGCAUAGUUUUGGAGGCUUCAGUUGAGUUCGUGUUAGACUAAUUGAGGGCUCUGAUAACUUUUAGUCCUUGACGAUCUUGAAUAUAUGGGGAUACCGUGGCGUUACAUGCAGCCUCAGUCAUCCUAUUUGUUUCUUUGUUCUUUCGAAAUAAUUGUACUACAAAAGGAAACGAAAUGUGUUGGAUUAAUGUUAUGCUUUCUACUAUUCUCUUUUCCUCUUUCAGGCAUUUUAUUUCGAUUGCUUAUUUCCUGUUAAGAAUCUUACGGUGCAUGUACCGAGCAUUAAACAUGGGAAUAAACUAGCACAAUGCUCAUGGGUUGCUACGAAACUAUAAAAUACGAGGAGUUAGGUCACUAGCUUAAAAAAUUGUCAAAACACGGUGGCGCCUUGCGANNNNNNNNNNNNNNNNNNNNNNNNNNNNNNNNNNNNNNNNNNNNNNNNNNNNNNNNNNNNNNNNNNNNNNNNNNNNNNNNNNNNNNNNNNNNNNNNNNNNCAAAGAGCAAAAGUAUCUAGCUCAAAAGAUAUAAGUGAAGCACUAUGAGCAUUCUAGCAAAAAUCACGAUGAGUGCAUGUCUCUCUCUCAAAAAGGUGUGCAGGAAGGAUGAUUGUGACACAACAAAAAUAAAAUACUCCUACGAUACAAGACGCUCCAAGCAAAACACAUAUCAUGUGGUGAAUAAAAAUAUAACUCCAAGUAAUGUUACCGAUGGAUUGAAGACGAAAGAGGGGAUGCCUUCCCGGGGCAUCCCCAAGCUUAGGCUUUUUGAUGUCCUUGAAUUUGGCUUGGGAUGCCUUGGGCAUCCCCAAGCUUGAGAUCUUUCCACUCCUUAUCUCUUUGUCCAUGAGAACAUCACCCAAAACUUGAAAACUUCACAACACAAAACUUAAACAGAAACUCGUGAUAUCAUUAGCACAAGAAAACAAACUACCACCUCUUUUGGUACUGUAGAAAACUUGAAUUCUAUCUAUAUUGGUGUUGGGCUACUAUAUUCUCACUUUUCCAUGGCUAGUACCCCCCGAUACUAACCAUAGUUUCAUCAAAACAAGCAACCAACUCAUCAAUAACAGAAUCUGUCAAAAACAGACUAGUUUGUAGCAAUCUGUAUACUUCGUAUACUUAUGGUACCUCAGAAAUUCUGAAAAAUUACGACUGCCUGGGAAAAAGGCAUAUCAACCAGCAGAAAAAAGUAUCAACUCAAAAGCUCUUUCUGAAUAAAAAUGAAAAAUCAUCUCGUGAGCGAAAAGUAUAUUUCUUUUUCCAGCAGGAUCAAACAACCAUCACCAAGACUAGUCAUAAAGGUUUUGCUUGGCUCAAACACAAAAAACACAAUCACAACAGAAUUAUGAAAGUGUGAACGCAACAAAACAGAAAGAAAAAGAUAAAUUCAUUGGGUUGCCCCCCAAUAAGCGCUAUUGUUUAACGCCCUUAGCCAGGCAUUGAUAAUUCAAUGAUGCUCACACAAAAGACAAGAAUUGAAGCACAACGAGAGCAUCAUGACACAUGUGAAAAUCACAUCUAAGUCUAACAUACUUCCUAUGCAUAGGCAUUUUAUAGGAAAACAGAUUGUCAAGACAACCAAUAGUUACCAUAUGCAAGGAGGAAGAAAGAGGCAAUAUCAAUCUCAACAUAACGAGAGGUGAUUUAGUGAUAUGAAAGUUUCUACCACAAUAUUUUCCUCUCUCAUAAUAAUUACAUGUGGGAUCAUAUUCGAAUUCAACAAUGUAACUAUCACAUAGGAUGUUCUUUUCAUGAUCCACAUGCAUGCAAAGUUGACGCUCUUNNNNNNNNNNNNNNNCGCUCUUCAAAAAUAGUGGGAUUAUCAUCAACUAAAGUCAUGACUUCUCCAAACCCACUUUCAAUCUUAAUGCAAAUAUCAUAUUCAUCAUGAGGCUUAAACAAAUUUUCAAGAUCAUAAGAAAAAUCAUCGCCCCACUCAUGAUCAUUGCAACAAGUAGUGGACAUAGCAAAACUAGCAUCCCCAAGAUUAGGGUUUUGCAUAUUUUUAGCACGAUUGUCACUAAUAGAAUUUAUAGUGAAACCAUUGCAAUCAUGCUUUUCAUUCAAGGAGCCCUCGUGAAUCACUUCAUAAAUUUCUUCAUCACGAUUUUUAGAUUCACGCAUCUCAAGCAAAACUCCAUAGAGAAAGUCAAGUGCACUCAACUCACUAGCAAAUGGUUCAACAUAAUUGGAUCUCUUAAAGAGAUUAGCAAGUGGAUGAGGAUCCAUAUCAAUAGAUUUUCAGCAAGCGAAGAUGCAAGCAUAUUGAAGGCACAUAGCACACAAGCAAAGGGAAGGCAAACGAAAAAGGAAAGCGAAGAAAAAAGGGCAAACGAAAAUGCGAACGAAAAAAAGGCAAAUUGGUGAAGUGGGGGAGAGGAAAAUGAGAGGCAACUGGCAAACAAAAUAAAUGCAAGAGAUGAGUUUGCGACACCUACUUGGAUGANNNNNNNNNNNNNNNNNNNNNNNNNNNNNNNNNNNNNNNNNNNNNNNNNNNNNNNNNNNNNNNNNNNNNNNNNNNNNNNNNNNNNNNNNNNNNNNNNNNNCGUCCAACUACAAGUAACAACAAACAUGCAUCAGUUUAGCAGAAAAAGAUAACACAGAGUACUUAAUACUAACAAUUUAUUACCUGCCGAUACAAGUAAGCCAGUGCGGCCGAGCCCCAGCUGAACUUGUUGUCGAAAACAGUCAACGCCUUCAGCCACAUCCAUGGAGCAUUCUUGCCAGUGCCGUCAGCAAAGAUAGCCCUAGAGAUGACAUACCACAUGUACACGCGAGCAUACCUCUGGAUCACCUCGUCAUCUGCGUCCUCAGGACAAUGAGCAAAGUUCGCGGCAAUCCAAGUGAAAGGAGCGCCGGCCGGGACUCUAUCUUUCUUCCCUCCAUCUUCUAUCUCCGGCUCAUGCGGCGACAUACCAAUAAGAGCCUCCAUUUGUUGCCGCCAUCCCUCGGAAUCGGUGCUCAUACAAAGAGGCUUCCCCUCGAUCGGAAGUGCGGUGAUCAUGGAAACAUCUUGAAGAGUAACUGUCAUCUCUCCGGUCCGGAGGUGAAAACUAUGUGUCUCCGGCCUCCAACGAUCAAUAAGUGCUGUGACUGCCGCAGCGUUCAGAUUGGGCGUUGACCGACUCACAAGCUGAACGAACGGAAGGAGUCGUGUCAUCUCGAUGUAUGUGGUGUACCGCUCAUCGUACUGCAUUACAGACGAUGCCCCAUGAGACCGGAUCUUCAAGGGCGUAAGCUCCUGCAAACAGGUAGAAGAAGAAGAUAUCAAGUGCUUAUUACAUUUUCAAAAAAUUACUCAUCUACUAAUCAUUUUCUACUUACCAUUUUCUUCUCCGACAUGAAAUAGGCCCGUUGUUCAACGUCAUAAACAUUAUUCAGAAGCCACACAUCCUACAAAUCACAAAAAAUACUCAUAUUCAAAUAAUUACUCAUCUACUAAUCCACUAAUCUACAUAUCCUAACUACUCAAAUCCUAAGAACUCAUAUGAACUACUACUACUCAUAUAUUCAUAUACUAACUACUAAUAUGAACUACUACUACUCAUAUACUCAUAUACUAACUACUAAUAUGAACUANNNNNNNNNNNNNNNNNNNNNNNNNNNNNNNNNNNNNNNNNNNNNNNNNNNNNNNNNNNNNNNNNNUACUACUACUCAUAUACUCAUAUACUAACUAUUAAUACUAACUACUAAUAUGAACUACUACUACUCAUAUACUAACUACUAAUAUACUAACUCCUAAUACUCAUAUACUAACUACUAAUAUACUAACUACUCAAAUCCUAAGAACUCAUAUCCUAACUAGUCAAAUCCUAAGAACCUACUCAAAUCAAUCUGCUCAACAAAAACCUAUUCCACUUGGAUAGAAGGAUGGAAAACGGAAGAGAUUACCUUGGGGGAUCAAUCAGAGGAAGAAAUCACCAGAUCUGAAGAAGAUGGGGGAGGGGAUUAGGGAUUCGAAGAGAGCCAGCCGCCGCCGUUGCUGNNNNNNNNNNNNNNNNNNNNNNNNNNNNNNNNNNNNNNNNNNNNNNNNNNNNNNNNNNNNNNNNNNNNNNNNNNNNNNNNNNNNNNNNNNNNNNNNNNNNNNNNUGGCCAGUUAAGUCAAUGUGUGGCGCCUAAGCGUUCGGCGCUACACAUUACAAUGUGUGACGCCUGAGGCUUAGGCGUCACACGGCCUGGGGGAUGGGUCCUCCCUGCCAGGUGGUCGAGGGGUGUGGCGCCGAACGGCUAAGCGUCACACAGUGUAGUGUGGCGCCUAGGUGUCGGACGCCACACAAAAGGAUCAGCCGGGUGACAUACUUUUUCCGAGAGGUCAUUCCGUGAGUUCUUUCCCCAAGGGGUUAUUUUUAUCAAUUUUGCCAACACCAACGCACGCCCCGCCACCAAAGCGACAAAGCAGCCGUGCAUGCACAAAGCCAGGCAAAACGGAUUUUGCAGUACGCCGGUAAAGAUUUUCGCUGGCCGCGGCUUAGCUCUUGGAACAAAAUCCGAGCGUCGAUCCAUCUUUGAUCGUCAUGUCGCUGUCUCGAUGGCGCUGGUUCAGAAUCAGAUCUCAUCGUCAUUUCUUGUCUGGAAAGGGAGUUAUUUAUUGGAUUUUUAUGCAGUCAAAGAGGAGGAGGCAGUGUUCACCAUACCUGGCUGCUCGCUUGAUGGGCAAGCUAGCAUCAAUUCUGUCAAUAACGUUCAUUGACCCGGUACACCUAGUGUCACACUAUUUACUGGGGCACUCCGGUGUAUUACUACUUGCUUGACCGGGUAACACCCCGCUUGAAUUUUUCAAAGGCAUCGGUCGCGCUGGUGCGUCCAUGCGCGCGUUUCGGAAGCAGUCUAGAGCAAGUAUAAUAGUGUGUUUAUAGUCCGCUUACAGAUUUUUUUUGUCUAUGUAAAGAAAAUAAAAAUAAUGGGCUUUCAGGCAAGAACCUAGCUACAAAUAUAAUAAAUACGAAAAAAGAGAUAGAAAAAAUAUAUAUUUAUAACCAACCUUAUAACUAACGUUAUUAUACGGGUGGUUACAAAUGCUGGCUAUAUAUGACCCCUGCUAUGGCGGCAGCUCGUGAUACAAGGAACGUGGCAUUUCAUAUCCUCAAGAACGGUGCAGCGACCUAACGUGGAUGGAGUCGUGCUCGUGCCAAUGUGCCAUCCAGUCCUUUGGAUUUCAACCCNNNNNNNNNNNNNNNNNNNNNNNNNNNNNNNNNNNNNNNNNNNNNNNNNNNNNNNNNNNNNNNNNNNNNNNNNNNNNNNNNNNNNNNNNNNNNNNNNNNNNNNNNNNNNNNNNNNNNNNNNCUUAGUACUGUUCUGAUCAACGGUCACGCCAAUUUAUUCUCCCAAAACAGGCAGGCAGGGGAACAGAGGUCAACUUCGUCUAGCUACCAGCAAUAUAAAACACCAUGUAUUACAGAGUUCACACGUAAACUUGCUGGUCCUACUCCUUCCCGUAUUCGGCGUAACUAUGUCGCUCUUGACCCAUGUAAAACCGUGUUGGAGAGGAAGGCCUGAUAAGCAUGUCGCUACACUAGUGAACAUAUGGUACAUGCAAUAUAAUGGUAAACUUUGUCUUACAGUGCAUCUCCGUCUAUUAAGCUUGAUGGUUCCUUUUGAAGGAGAAGGAGCUUGGUCGCCCGGUCCACAUCCUAGAAGCAUGGAAAGAAGUCACAAUGGGAAGGAUGACAAGGAGUUUUGCAGCCAGCCGGUGGUGACGAAAUAUGAAACCUUCAGAUCCAUCUUCAAGGAGGUGCACUGGGAUGACGUCAAAUCUACGUCCCAGCCACUCAGGGACGGAGCCAGCAUGCAAGCAUAGGGGGGACAAGUUUGUUAAUGAAUGGGGUAAAGUUNNNNNNNNNNNNNNNNNNNNNNNNNNNNNNNNNNNNNNNNNNNNNNNNNNNNNNNNNNNNNNNNNNNNNNNNNNNNNNNNNNNNNNNNNNNNNNNNNNNNAGUUUUCCCUCGGGGCUGAGGGUAUGUACCAGUAGCUAUGUGUUUGAUCUCUCUCUCGUGUUCUUGAGAUGUCUUGAUCUUGAUGUACCAUGGGCUUUGCUACUAUAGUUGGAUCUUAUUUUGUUCUUCCCCAUCUCCCUUCUUGUAAUUGAAUUGAGUUUCCCCUUUGAAGUUAUCUUAUCGUAUUGAGUCUUUGAGAACACUUGAUGUAUGUCUUGCACGUGUCUAUCUGCUGUGAUCAACUUGCGGGUUUGUGACAAUUGGGAACCUAUGCAUAUGGGUUGGCACACGUGCAUUCAUGUGAGUACUCGAUGUAUGUUUUGGUGAUGAACUUGCGGGUUCGUGACAUUGGAAAGCUACGCAUAGGGGUUGGCACACGUUUUGAUUCUCUGGUAGAAACUUUGGGGCACUCUUUGAAGUUCUAUGUGUUGGUUGAAUAGAUGAUUCUGAGAUUGUGUGAUGCAUAUCGUAUAAUCAUGCCCACGGAUACUUGAGGUGACAAUGGAGUAUCUAGGUGACAUUAGGGUCUUGGUUGAUAUGUAUCUUAAGGUGUUAUUCUAGUACGAACUCUUGAAUAGAUCGAUCAGAAAGAAUAACUUUAUGGUGGUUUCGUACCCGACAAUAAUCUCUUCGUUUGUUCUCUGCUAUUAUUGACUUUGGAGUGACUCUUUGUUGCAUGUUGAGGGCUAGUUAUAUGAUCCAAUUAUGUAAUCAUUGUUGAGAGAACUUCACUAGUGAAAGUAUGAACCCUAGGCCUUGUUUCCACGCAUUGCAAUACCGUUCGUGCUCACUUUUGUUACUAGUUACCUUGCUGUUUUUGUAAUUUCAGAUUACAAAAACCUAUAUCUACCAUCCAUAUUGCAUUUGUAUCACCAUCUCUUUGCCGAACUAGUGCACCUAUACAACUUACCAUUGUAUUGGGUGUGUUGGGGACACAAGAGACUCUUUGUUAUUUGGUUGCAGGGUUGCUUGAGAGAGACCAUCUUCAUCCUACGCCUCCCGCGGAUUGAUAAACCUUAGGUCACCCACUUGAGGGAAAAUUGCUACUGUCCUACAAACCUCUGCACUUGGAGGCCCAACAACGUCUACAAGGAGAAGGUUGCGUAGUAGACAUCAAGCAUUUUUGUGGCGCCGUUGCCGGGGAGGCUAGGUAAGCGACACUAACAUCCCGUCAACGAAGCAUUUUUCUGGCGCCGUUGCCGGGGAGGUUAGCGCUUGAAGGUAUAUAUUUAGAUCUUGCAAUCAAAUCUUUUUGUUUUUUGUUCUUUCGCUAGAAAACUACAAAAAAAUUGGAAUUGAGGAUGCCUCAUAUACUCCAUCUUUUCAAUGUCUUUCGUGAGCAUGAUGGGAAGGAAAAUUGUGCUCAAGUGCUGAAAGAAGAAUUACAUAGAAUGCUUGGCAUAGAAUAUGUGAAGGAUGAGCAUGAUUGCAAUGUUUUUAGCAUGAAUUAUUUGAAUACCCAUGAUGCUAAUGAUAUGCAAAGCUACAAGCUUGGGGAUGCUAUAUUUUAUGAACAUGAUCUUUUUAGUUCUUCCACUUUGAAUGAUCAAAAUCAUUUUGAUGAAAGCAUGCCCCUAUCUAUGAUGAUUAUUGUGAGGAUACUUAUGCUUUAAAGAAAAGGGAUGAUAAAACUUGUCAUACUCUCGAGAACCCCUUUGCUAAACCUUGCUUUUUCAUUGUGGACACAAUUUGUAGUGCUCAAGUCUUUUACGAUACUCCCACUACUAUUUUUGAGAAUAGAUUUCCUUAUGUGGAGAGUAGUAAAAUUCCUAUGCUUGUAGAUCAUGAAAAGAAUGCUUUAGGGGUCGGUUAUAUUGUUAAAUUCAUUCAUGAUGCUACUGAAAAUUACUAUGAGAGAGGAUCAUAUGCUUCUACUUAUUCCAAUAGUAUCAAGCUUCCUCUCCAUGUGUUGAAAUUUUUGAAGCUAUGCUUGUUUUGCCUUCCUAUGCUAGUUGAUUCUUCCUCCAAUAAAUUAUUUGAUCACAAAAUCCCUAUGCAUAGGAAGUGGGUUAGACUUAAAUGUGCUAGCCAUAUGCUCCAUGAUGCUCUCAUUGUGUUUCAAUCCUUACCUUUUAUGUGAGCAUCAUUGAAAUCAUGCCUAGCUAAGGGCGUUAAACAAUACCGCUUGUUGGGAGGCAACCCAAUGAAUUUAUUUUUGCCUUUUGCUUUCUGUUUUUCUUUUUCCACACCAUCAUAGUUCUGCUGUGAUUGUGUUUUUUUGUUUCUUUUUGCGUUUGUGCCAAGUAAAGCCUUUAUGAUAGCUUGGGUGAUAGUUGUUUGAUCAUGCUGGAAAAAGACAGAAACUUUCUGCUCACGAAAUUAUUUGUCAUUUCUUUCCAGAAAGCGCUUUUGAGUUGAUUCUUUUUGCUGCUGAUUUAUAUGAAAAUUUACCUUACUGUCGUAAGUUUUCAGAAUUUUUGGAGGUGCAGAAGUAUGGUGAUAAUUCAGAUCAUUACAGACUGUUCUAUUUUUGACAGAUUCUGUUUUCAAUGCAUAGUUUGCUUGUUUUGGUGUUUCCAUAGAUUAUUUUGAGUAAUAUAAAUUGUGGAAAUAGUAAGAUACAGUAGGCAUUGUGUGAAAAUAGUUAUGAGUCUUGUUUUGACAGUACCCAAGUGAUUGAUUUUCUCGUUAUCAUACUAACCCAUCUCACGAAGUUCCGUUAAGUUUUAUCUUGUGAAGUUUUCAUGUUUUGGGUAGAUUUUCGAUGGACUAUGGAACAAGGAGUGGCAAGAGCCNNNNNNNNNNNNNNNNNNNNNNNNNNNNNNNNNNNNNNNNNNNNNNNNNNNNNNNNNNNNNNNNNNNNNACGCAACAAAAGCCAUAUUCAAGGAUCCCAAAAAGCCUACGCUUGGGGAUGCCCCGGGAAGGCAUCCCCUCUUUUGUCUUCAAUCCAUCAGUAACAUUACUUGGAGCUAUAUUUUUAUUCACCACUCGAUAUGUGUUUUGCUUGGAGCGUCUUGUAUCUUAGGAGUCGUUUCUUUUUUGAUUGGUCGCAAUAAUCCUUGCUGCACACCUUUUUGAGAGAUAGAGACAUGCACUCAUCGUGAUUUUGCUAGAAUGCUCAUUGUGCUUCACUUAUAUCUUUUGAGCUAUAUAUUUUUGCUCUUGUGCUUCACUUAUAUCUUUAGAGCACGGCGGUGCGUGAUUUGGUAGUUGGCUUAUNNNNNNNNNNNNNNNNNNNNNNNNNNNNNNNNNNNNNNNNNNNNNNNNNNNNNNNNNNNNNNNNNNNNNNNNNNNNNNNNNNNNNNNNNNNNNNNNNNNNAGUACCAAUCGGAGUCGCGAGACGGAGAUUGGUUACAAGAGAUGAACUAGGGAUUGGAGAGGAGAUGGUGCUGAUGAAGAUGUUGAUGAAGAUGACUCCCCUCCGACGAGAGGAGUGUUGGUGAUGACGAUGGCGACGAUUUCCCCCUCCGGGAGGGAAAUUUCCCCGGCAGGAUCGUCCUGCCGGAGCUCUAGAUUGAUUCUGCUCAAGUUCCGCCUCAUGGCAGUGGCUAAUCCACGAAAAAGCUCCUCCUUGAUUUUUUUCCUCAACGGAACCCUCCAUAUAGCAAAAGCGGGGGGCCAGUGGGCAAGUUUUUUCUGGAACGAAACCCUUCAUAUAGCAAAAGAGGGGGGCCAGUGGGCCGCGGCUACUAGGCUUGUGGGGCCCUGGUAGCUCCCCUCUGGUACUUCUUUCGCCCUGUAUUUUUUAUAUAUUCCCAAAAAAUUCCACGUUGAUUUUCAGGGCAUUUGGAGUUGCGUAGAAUAGAGGACUCAGAUUUGCUCCUUUUCCACUCCAGAAUUCCAGCUGUCGGUAUUCUCCCUCUUCAAAUAAACCUUGCAAAAUAAGAGAGAAAAGGCAUAAGUAUGGUACCACAAGGUAAUAUAUCAGCCCAUAAAGCGAUAAAUAUCAACAUGAAAGCAUGAUGCAAAAUGGACGUAUCAACUCCUCCAAGCUUAGACCUCGCUUGUCCUCAAGCGAAAACCAAGUUCCAUAAACAUGUCCACGUGUUUAGGGAUGAAGGUGUCAAUACAACAUAAUACGGACAUGAGGGCAUCAUGAUCACACAUAGAACAUAAAUACAUCAUAAAGAUUCUUAUGGGAAAGUAACAAUUCCUUCACAAGGCAAAGUAUGAAGCAAAAAACCUUACCGAGAAGUAGCCAACAACAGUCCAUAGUCAUUGAAGCAAUUGCAAUUUAUCAUAACAUCAGAAAGAGUCAAAUAAGAGCUUGUAAAGCAAACCCACAUACUCAAUCAUCUCUUUUAUUUUCCACAAUUGUUACAACUCACGUGGUACUCAUGGUAUCAAAGUUUCAGUUGGACACAGAGGAAGAUAGGGGCUUAUAGUUUUGCCUCCCAACCAUUUACCUCAAGGGGUAAAGUCAACAAUAAUAAAGCAUAAGUACUCAUCUCCAAGUUGAUAUAUGAAUAUAGAUAUUUCCCAAGCAUGUGACGGUAGCCAAGACAAAGGAAAAAUAAGGAAUUGGUGAAGAUCACCAUGACUCUUACAAGGGCAAAAAAUAAAGGUACAAGAUAGGCCCUUCACAGAGGGAAGCAGAGGUUGUCAUGCGCUUUUGAGGUUUGNNNNNNNNNNNNNNNNNNNNNNNNNNNNNNNNNNNNNNNNNNNNNNNNNNNNNNNNNNNNNNNNNNNNNNNNNNNNNNNNNNNNNNNNNNNNNNNNNNNNAUGCUUGCGAGAGGGGUUAAUCAUAAGUGGGAUGCUUGUACAAGUAAGGGCAGUACCCAAGUGCCGGUCCACCCACAUAUCAAACUAUCAAAGUAACGAGCGUGAAUCAUAUGAACAUGAUGAAACUAGCAUGACAGGAAUUCCCGUGUGUCCUCGGGAGCGUUUUUCCUCCUAUAAGACUUUGUCCAGGCUUGUGCCUUGCUACAAAAGGGAUUGGGCCACUUUUCUGCACCGUUGCUACUUUUGUUACUUGUUGCUUGCUAUGAAUCAUCUCACCACACAAUCACUUGUUACCGAUAAUUUCAGUGCUUGCAGAUAUUUCCUUGCUGAAAACCACUUGUCAGAUCCUUCUGCUCCUCGUUGGGUCCUACACUCUUACUUAUCGAAAGGACUAUGAUUGAUCCCCUAUACUUGUGGGUCAUCAAGACUCUUUUCUGACGCCGUUGCCGGGGAGUGAAGCGCCUCUAGUAAGUGGAACUUGGUAAGGAAACAUUCAUAUAGUGUGCUGAAAUUUAUUGUCACUUGUCACUAUGGAUACUAAUCCUUUGAGGGGAUUGUUCGGGGUAUCUUCACCUCGAACGGAAGCACAAAGAGUUGCUCCUCAACCUGCUGCACCUACUGAAAAAUAUUUGCUUUUAAUUUCCUUCGGGUAUGCUUGAGAAACUGCUGGCUAAUCCUUUUACAGGAGAUGGAACAUAACAUCCAGACUUGCAUCUUAUCUAUGUAGAUGAAGUUUGUGGUUUAUUUAAGCUUGCAGAUGUGCCCGAGGAUGAGAUCAAGAAGAAGGUCAUUCCUUUAUCUUUGUAGGAUAAGGCGUUGACAUGGUAUAGGCUAUGUGAUGAUACUGGAUCAUGGGACUACAAUCGGUUGAAAUUGGAAUUUCAUCAAAAGUUUUAUCCUAUGCAUUUAGUACAUCGUGAUCGGAAUUAUAUUUAUAAUUUUUGGCCUCGUGACAUAGAAAGCAUCGCUCAAGCUUGGGGGAGGCUUAAAUCAAUGCUAUAUUCGUGCCCCAAUCAUGAGCUCUCGAGAGAAAUUAUCAUUCAGAACUUCUAUGCUCGGCUUUCUCAUGAUGAUCGCACCGUGCUUGACACUUCUUGUACCAGUUCUUUUAAGAAGAGAGAUAUUGACUUCAAAUGGAAUUUAUUGGAGAGAAUUAAACGCAACUCUAAAGAUUGGGAGCUUGAAGAAGGUAAGGAGUCAGGUAUGAAUUUUACGUUUGAUUGCGUUAAAUCCUUUGUUGAGACAAAUACCUUUAUUGAUUUUAGCGCUAAGUAUGGACUUGACUCUGAGAUAGUAGCUUCAUUGUGUGAAUCCUUUGCUGCUCAUAUUGAUCUCCCCAAAUAGAAGUGGUUUGAUAAUCAUCCUCCUUUAGAAGUCAAUGUAGUUAAACCCACUCCAGUUGAAGAGAAAGUCAUUGCCUAUAAUGAUCAUGUUGUUCCCAGUGCUUACAUUGUGAAACCACCUUUCCCUGUUAGGAUAAAGGAUCAACUAUGAUACGUAGAGGCUACAUUAGAACACCUACACCACCUGAGCAAAUUAGAGUUGAACCUAGCAUUGCUAUUAUCAAAGAUCUUCUGUCUGAAGAAGUUGAGGGACAUAAUAUUCACUUCUGUGAAGAUGGUGCUAGAGUUGCUAAACCUCACGCUAGAGACAAACAUAGGCCUGUUGUUGGCAUGCCUGUGGUUUCUAUUAAGAUAGGAGAUCAUUGUUAUCAUGGUUUAUGUGACAUGGGUGCUAGUGUUAGUGCAAUACCUCAAUCCUUAUAUGAUGAAAUCAAAGAUGAGAUUGCACCUGUUGAGAUAGAAUCUAUAGAUGUCACUAUUCAGCUUGCCAAUAGAGAUACUAUCUGCCCUGUGGGAAUUGUUAGAGAUGUUGAAGUCUUGUGUGGUAAAACGAAGUAUCCUGCUGAUUUCCUCGUUCUUGCUACUGCACAAGAUAGCUUUUAUCCCAUCAUAUUUGGUAGACCCUUUCUCAAUACUGUCAAUGCUCAUAUUGAUUGUGAGAAGCAAACUGUCACUGUUGGCUUUGAAGGCGUGUCACAUGAGUUCAAUUUCUCCAAGUUUGGUAGACAAGCUCAUGAAAAGGAGUUGCCUAGUAGGGAUGAAACUAUGCCACUACGGAAAAGGAAUUUUUAGCAGUCGUGUUUGCAUGUGAAAAGUUCAGGUCUUACAUAGUUGAUUCCAAAGUUACUAUUCACACUGAUCAUGCUACUAUUAAGUACCUCAUGGAGAAGAAGGACGCUAAACCUAGACUUAUUAGAUGGGUUCUCUUGCUACAAGAAUUUGAUUUGCACGUUGUCGACAGAAAGGGUGCUGAUAACCCAGUAGCAGAUAACUUGUCUAGGUUGGAGAACGUUCUUGCUGACCCACAACCUAUUGAUGAUAGCUUUCCCGAUGAGCAAUUGAAUGCCAUCAAUGCUUCACGUAGUGCACCGUGGUAUGCUGAUUAUGCAAACUAUAUCCUUGCCAAAUACAUACCACCUAGUUUCACAUACCAACAAAAGAAGAAAUUCUUCUUUGACUUGAGACAUUACUUCUGGGAUGAUCCUCACCUUUAUAAGGAAGGAGUAGAUGGUGUUAUUCGACGUUGUGUACCUGAACAUGAACAGGGACAGAUCCUACAGAAGUGUCACUCCGAGGCCUACGGAGGAUACCAUGCGGGAGAUAGAACUGCACACAAGGUAUUGCAAUCAGGCUUCUAUUGGCCCACUCUCUUCAAGGAUGCCCGUAAGUUUGUCUUGUCUUGUGACGAAUGUCAAAGAAUAGGUAAUGUUAGCAAACGUCAGGAAAGGCCUAUGAACUAUUCACUUGUCAUUGAACCAUUUGAUGUUUGGGGCUUUGAUUAUAUGGGACCUUUUCCAAAAUCCAACGGGUAUACGCAUAUCUUAGUUGUUAUUGAUUACGUCACUAAGUGGGUAGAAGCUAUCCCCACUGGUAGUGCUUAUCACAACACCUCUAUCAAGAUGCUGAAAGAAGUUAUCUUCCCUAGAUUUGGAGUCCCUAGAUAUCUAAUGACCGACGGUGGUUCACACUUCAUUCAUGGUGCUUUCCGUAAAACGCUCGCUAAGUACGAUGUCGACAAUAGAAUUGCGUCUCCCUAUCACCCUCAGUCCAUUGGUCAAGUAGAGCUAAGUAAUAGAGAGAUUAAACUAAUUCUGCAAAAGACUGUCAAUAGGUCUAGAAAGAAUUGGUCUAAGAAGCUCGACGAUGCAGUGUGGGCUUAUAGAACUUCCUAUAAGAAUCUCAUGGGCAUGUCUCCGUACAAAAUGGCGUAUGGUAAAGCAUGUCACUUACCUCUUGAGUUAGAGCAUANNNNNNNNNNNNNNNNNNNNNNNNNNNNNNNNNNNNNNNNNNNNNNNNNNNNNNNNNNNNNNNNNNNNNNNNNNNNNNNNNNNNNNNNNNNNNNNNNNNNUGCAAUGGGAGAAGUGCUUGGUUUUGGGUUCAUACCGUGUGGUGACCUCACCCAGUGACAGAAGGGGUAUCAAGGCACGCAUCGCGUUGUUUCCAUGAAGGGUAAAAAGAUGGGGGUUUCAUCACUCGUUUGAGAUUAUCCCUCUACAUCAUGUCAUCUUGCUUAAAGCGUUACCCUAUUCGUCAUGAACUCAAUACACUAGAUGCAUGCUGGAUAGCGCUCGAUGUGUGGAGUAAUAGUAGUAGAUGCGGAAAGUAUCGGUCUACUUGUCUCAGACGUGAUGCCUAUAUGUAUGAUCAUUGCCUUAGAUAUCGUCAUGACUUUGCGCGGUUCUAUCAAUUGCUCGACAGUAAUUUGUUCACCCACCGUAACACUUGCCAUUUUGAGAGAAGCCUCUAGUGAACACUAUGGCCCCCAGGGUCUACUCCACACCAUAUUUUCAGCCUUACACUUUUUACCUGUGAUGCAUCACCCUUUCCUCUUCAAGGGAAAAACCAACGCAAUCCCAGUCUCCGUCAACGUGUCAAUUUUUGGCGUUGUUGUUUGAGAAGAAGAAUGUCGACUGUUGUUGUGCGGGUCGCUUCUCCUUCUUCUCCUUGUGCUAGAUAUUUGUUAUGCACUAGGGGAAGUAGGAGUAGCGACCAUCAUCGACGGGCAAAAAAUCCUGGGAAAUAGGAGUAGCGACCAUCAUCGGCGGUCAAAAAAUCAGGUGAGGGAGUGUCCACCAUAUAUGAGAGACGAAGAAUGCCGAAUGUUGUUGUGGGGGUCGCUUCUCCUUCUUCUCAUUGUGCUAGAUAUUUGUUAUGCACUAGGGGAAGUAGGAGUAGCGACCAUCAUCGACGGUCGAAAAAUUAGGUGAGGGAGUAUCCACCAUAUAUGAGAGAAGAAGUAUGCCGACUGUUGUUGUGGGGGGUCGCUUCUCCUUCUUCUCCUUGUGCUUGAUAUUUGUUAUGCACUAGGGGAAGUAGGAGUAGCAACCAUCAUCGACGGUUGAAAAAUCAGGUGAGGGAGUGUCCACCAUAUAUGAGAGANNNNNNNNNNNNNNNNNNNNNNNNNNNNNNNNNNNNNNNNNNNNNNNNNNNNNNNNNNNNNNNNNNNNNNNNNNNNNNNNNNNNNNNNNNNNNNNNNNNNUGAUCCUGCAUGUUGUAGUUACCUACUAUGUGUUAUGAUCCGGCAACCCCAGAGUGACAAUAACCGGAACCACUCCCGAUGAUGACCAUAGUCUGAGGAGUUCAUGUGCUCACCAAGUGCUAAUGCGUUGGUCCGGUUCUUUAUUAAAACGAGAACCUCAAUAUCCCGUAGUUUCCUUUUGGACCCCACUGCCACGGGAGGGAUGGACAAUAGAUGUCAUGCAAGUUCUUUUCCCUAAGCACGUAUGAUGACACACGGAAUGCAUGCCUACAUCACAUUGACGAACGGGAGCUAGCCACAUAUCUCUCCGUGUUAUAGCUGUUGCAUGAUGAAUAUCAUCCAAACAAAUCACCGACCCAUUGCCUAAAUCACCGAGCCAUUGCCUACGAGUUUGUCCUACUACUGUUACUUGUCUUGCUCUGUUGCUACUACUGUUGCUACUGCUGUUACUUGUCUUGCUCUACUGCUGCUGCUACUACUGUUGCUACUGAUGUUACUUGUCUUGCUCUGCUGCUACUGUUGCUACUACUGUCGUUUGCUACUGUUGCUACUUGCUACUGCUGUCACUACUAUUGUUCCUUGCGGCUGCUAUUGCUCGUUACACUGCCUUGCUCGCUACUUUGCUGUUACUACUGUGCUUGCAGAUACUAAUCUUUCAGGUGUGGUUGAAUCUGACAAAUUCAGCUGCUAAUACUUGAGAGUAUACUCUCACCUCCUGACUAGCUUAUCAACAAAUUGGGUCGAAUACUCUACCCUCGAAAACUGCUGCGAACCCACGCGCCGGUGGGCCAUCAACAACAUUCUUCUAGUUUCAUUAUCGGGGAGUGCUAUCAGCAUUCUUCUGGUGCCGUUGCAGGAGAAGGUUCGUUGUCAUAAGCGUUCGUCUAGCUAACGCCAGAGAUUGCGCGAUCAACAUUUUUCUCGCGCCGUUGCCGGGGAGGUAUUGCUAUAUUCUCUGAGUCACUUGGGAUUUAUAUCUGUUGAAUACUAUGAAGAAUCUGAAGGAUCCGAAGACCAAAGUCUUGCCCUCAACUACGAGGGGAGGUAAGGAAUUGCCAUCUAGCUCUGCACUUGAUUCACCUUCAGUUAUGAGUAAGUUUGCGACUUCACCUCCUGCUAGAAAUCUUGAUAUGUCGCCUGUGCUUGAUGAUGCUUAUGAUGUUAUUGCUAGAGAUGCUAUGCUUGAUACUAUGCCUGAUGCUAUGCUUGAUACUAUUCCUGAUGAUGCUAUGCUUGAUACUGCUAGAGAUGCUAUGCUUGAUACUAUGCCUGAUGCUAUGCUUGAUACUAUUCCUGAUGAUGCUAUGCUUGAUACUGCUAGAGAUGCUAUGCUUGAUACUAUGCCUGAUGCUAUGCUUGAUACUAUUCCUGAUGAUGCUAUGCUUGAUACUGCUAGAGAUGCUAUGCUUGAUAUUGUUUUGCCUGAUGAUGCUAGAGAUGCUAUUUUGCCUGAUGUUCCACUAGGAGUGUUCCUUGAUGCUAAUAUUGCUAGAGUUACUGCCAAUGCUCGUGAUGCUUCUGAAACUACCGAUACUAUUGAGAUAGAACCUGCUUUUGCUCCUGCUAGAUCUAGCUCUCCUAGAUAUGAAUUGCCUGAUAUACCUGAGGGUUACGUUAUGGAGGGAGAGAUAGCUGAGGAUUUUCUUGCGUGUAAGGAUGCCUAUGACGCUGAGAAAUUAAUUCUCAAGUGGAAGGAAAAAUCUCGGGAAGCUAGGAUGAAAAAUGACCCGAAGUUUGCCACUUCGCCUAUCUUUGUCACCGAUAAGGAUUAUGAAUUCUCUGUCGACCCUGAGAUAAUCUCUCUAGUCGAAUCUGAUCCUUUUCACGGUUAUGAGUCUGAGACGGUCAUAGCCCAUCUUGCCAAACUAUCCGAAAUACCAACCUCUUCACUAAUGAGGAGAAGAUCCGCCACUACUAUAUCCUUAAGUUGUUUCCUCUCUCUCUAAAGGAUGAUGCUAAAGCCUGGUUCACCUCUCUUGCUCAUGGAUGUGUGCGUAGUCCCCAGGAGAUGGUCUAUUACUUCUGUGAGAAAUAUUUCCCUGCCCAUAAGAAGCAAGCUGCCUUGCAGGAAAUAUACAACUUUGCUCAACUCCAAGAAGAGAGUCUUCCACAAGCUUGGGGGAGGCUCGUCCAGCUACAGAAUGCUUUGCCUGAUCACCCUCUUAAGAAGAACUAGAUACUUGAUAUCCUCUAUAACGGACUUACCGAUACCUCUAGAGACUACCUAGAUAGUUGUGCCGAUUGUGUUUUUAGGGAACGAACAGUAGAACAAGCUGAGACCCUACUGAAUAACCCCUUGAUCAACGAUAAUGCUUGGACUAUUCCCGAACCACCUCCUAAGCCAACUCCUAAGAAAAGAGGUAUUCUAUUCCUCAGUCCCGAAGAUAUGCAAGAAGCCAAGAAAUCUAUGCAAGAGAAAGGCAUUAGAUCUGAAGAUGUCAAAAAUCUACCACCUAUCGAAGAGAUCCAUGAUCUCUAUAACCCGAUACAGGUAGUAGAAGUGAAUUCUCUGCGUAGGUUUGACGAGAGUGAUAUUCCUUUUGAUAAACCUCCUAGCCUAUGCUUUGAUGAAUUUGACAACUUUGUUGCCAAACAACAAAGUUUCAAUGAUUAUGUUAGCAGACAUUUGGAACAAAGUACUAGUAUGCUUAGCCAUUUAAGUGCUUGUGUAGACAGAAAUGUCAAUACUUUGAACCUUCUGAGUAAACAUGCCUCUAUGAUUACUACUCAGGUAGAACAAGUACUUAAAGCUCAGAAUGACUUGCUCAAUGAACUAAAUGACAACUGUGUCAGAGUCAUUACUAGAGGAGGCAAAAUGACUCAGGAACCUUUGUAUCCUGAAGGUCAUCCUAAGAGAAUUGAUCAAGAUUCUCGAGGAAUCAAUGUUGAUACACCUAGUCAUCCUAAGGAGAAGAAGAAGGAUGAUAGAAACCUGCACGCCAGUUCACCAAAUACUGUCACACCUGAAGAACCUAAUGAUAUUUCUGCGUCUGAUGCAGAAACACAAUCAGGUGAUGAACAUGAACCUGGUGACAACAUGGACAGUGAUGUUCGUAAUAAUGCUCAACCUAGCCAUGAUGAGGAUGUGGAGAUUGAAACUAUGAUUAAUCUUGAUAAUCCACAACCUAAGAGAUACGACAAGAAUGACUUCACUGCUAGGAAGCAUGGUAAAGAAAGAGAGCCAUGGGUUCAGAGAUCUAUGCCCUUUCCUCCUAAGCCAUCCAAGAAAAAGGAUGAUGAGGAUUUUGAGCGCUUCGUUGUGAUGAUAAGACCCAUCUUUCUGCAGAUGCGGUUAACUGAUAUGCUCAAGAUGUCUCCGUAUGCCAAGUACAUGAAAGAUAUCGUGACUAAUAAACGAAAGAUACUAGAUCUUGAGAUCUCCACCAUGCAUGCCGACUACACUUUCAAAGGUGGAACUCCUAAGAAACUUGGUGAUCCCGGAGUGCCCACUAUACCUUGCUCCAUUAAAGGAAACUACGUAAGAACUGCCUUAUGUGACCUUGGAGCCGGUGUUAGUGUUAUGUUGCUCUCUCUUUAUCGUAGAUUUGAGUUGGAUAAGUUGACACCCACUGAAAUUUCUCUGCAAAUGGCCGACAAAUCAACUGCUUUCCCUAUCGGCGUUUGCGAGGAUGUGCCUGUUGUGGUUGCUAAUACCACUAUCUUAACAGACUUUGUUAUCUUGGAUAUUCCCGAGGAUGAUGCCAUGGCUAUCAUCCUCGGAAGACCCUUUUUAAACACUGCAGGGGCUGUUAUAGAUUGCAACAAAGGCAAUGUCACUUUCCACGUCAACGGUAAUGAGCACACAGUGCACUUUCCAAAGAAAUGAUAUCCAGUACAUUGCAUCAAUGUUAUCGAAAAGACUUCAUAGAUUCUCAUUGGGAGCUUUGAAUGCCCUAUUCCUCGUGUCAAGAUGAAGUAUGAUUUGCUUGUUGGGGAGAUUCAUAUCCCCAUUGACGUGACUUAGUGGCUAUUCAAAAAUUCUCCGUUCUCUCUUGCGAUUCGAGAAGGUUUUGUCAUAAGGACUUGAUCAACCCAAUUGACGGAUUUCUUUUGAUGACCAUGAAAUGGAUGAAUCAAAGAGUCACAUACCUCUGUUUUGAGCUUUCUUUUUAUGUUGCUUAGAAGAAAAAUGAUGGAAUUAGUUUAACUUUUCCUGUUUUCUGUUUUAGCGUCCCAGAGAAAAAUACCUCGAAAAUAAAAGUUCUCCGAUGGUCCUGAAAAUUCUGGAAUUUUUGAAAAUUUCUGGGCCUGAGAGCUGGUCAGGGGGCCUGACCAGUGGGCCACAAGCCCCCCCCCCCCCCCCCCCCCCCCCCCCCCCCCCNNNNAAGCCCCCCCCCCCCCCCCGCCACGUACCCCCCUGGUGGCGGGGUGCAAGCUUGUGGGGCCCACAGGCAUCCUCUCCACUCAUUCCAGCUCCCAGCCUCUUCUUCCACCUCUAGAAAAAAUUGUUUCACAGCUCAAACCCGUGUUCUUGCUCAUUUGGCUGUAAUUUUCGAUCUCCUUGCUCAAAGCACCAUUCUCCGAACCGUUUUGGGGGAAAUUGCUCCUUGGUAAGUGACUCCUCCAUUGGUCCAAUUAGUUUUUGCUCUAGUGCUUUAUCCUUCGCGUAUUCUUGCUACCUUGGUGACCNNNNNNNNNNNNNNNNNNNNNNNNNNNNNNNNNNNNNNNNNNNNNNNNNNNNNNNNNNNNNNNNNNNNNNNNNNNNNNNNNNNNNNNNNNNNNNNNNNNNCUUAUCAUUAGGGACAACGGUAAUGCCUCCCUUCUUAGGGACGCAAUGCACCGGACUCACCCAAUCCCUGUGAGCAAUAGGAUAAAUGAUACUUGCUUCCAGGAGCUUUAGUAUUUCUUUUCUCACUACUUCUUUCAUAUUAGGAUUCAAUCUCCUUUGAUGAUCAGCAACUGGUUUGAAGUCAGGAUCAGUUUUAAUCUUGUGCUGACAUAGAGUGAGACUAAUACCCUUAAGAUCAUCAAGAGUAUAUCCAAUAGCAGCACGAUGCGGGUAGGACUAAUGCCCUUAAGAUCAUCAAGAGUAUAUCCAAUAGCAUCACGGUGCUUACUCAUAGUUUUUAGUAACUUCUUUUCUUCAUGCUCUGAGAGGCUAGCACUAAUAAUGACAGGAUCUAUCUCCUUUCCAUCAAGGUAGGCAUACUUAAGAGUAUCAGGCAACUGUUUAAGCUCGAACUCAGGAUCACCCUAUGGUGGGGGUGGAUCCCCAAGCAGUUCAACACGCAAGUUAUUCUUAAGAAUAGGAUAUUGUUCUAAGACAACUCUAUCUAUCUCAUCCCUUUCAUCCAUAUAAAUAUCAUUUUCAUGCUCAAGCAAGUAUUGCUCUAAGGGCUCAGUAGAGGGCACGACAAUAGAGGCUAAGGCAAUAGUUUUAUCCCUACUAGGCAACUCCUUUUCAUGAGGUUGUCUACCAAACUUAGAGAAAUUGAACUCAUGUGACACACCUUCAAAGCCAAAAGUGACAGUUUGCUUCUCACAAUCAAUAUGAGCAUUGACAGUAUUGCGAAAAGGUCUACCAAAUAUGAUGGGACAAAAGCUAUGUUGUGCGGUAGCAAGAACGAGGAAAUCAGCAGGAUACUUCAUUUUACCACACAAGACUUCAACAUCCCUAACAAUUCCCACAGGACAGAUAGUAUCUCUAUUGGCAAGCUGAAUAGUGACAUCAAUAGGCUCUAUCUCAACAGGUGCAAUCUCAUCUUUGAUUUCAUCGUAUAAGGAUUGAGGUAUUGCACUAACACUAGCACCCACGUCACAUAAGCCAUGAUAACAAUGAUCUCAUAUCUUAACAGAAACCACAAGCAUGCCAACAACAGGCCUAUGUUUGUCUCUAGCGUGAGGUUUAGCAAUUCUAGCAGCAUCUUCACAGAAAUGAAUAUUAUGUCCCUCAACAUCUUCGGACAUAAGAUCUUUGAUAAUAGCAAUGCUAGGUUCAACUCUAAUUUGCUCAGGGGGUGUAGGUGUUCUAAUAUAGCCUCUACGUAUCACAGUUGAAGCUUUAGAAUGAUCCUUUAUCCUAACAGAGAAAGGUGGUUUCUCAAUGUAAGCACUAGGAACAACAGGAUCAUUAUGGAAAGGCGGUUUCUCAAUGUAAGCACUGGGAACAACAAGAUCAUUAUAGGCAAUGACUUUCUGUUCAACUGGAGUGGGUUUAACUACAUUGACUUCUAUAGGAGGAUGAUAUUUAAACCACUUCUCUUUGGGGAGAUCAAUAUGAGCGGCAAAUGAUUCACACAAUGAAGCUACUAUCUCAGAUUCAAGUCCAUNNNNNNNNNNNNNNNNNNNNNNNNNNNNNNNNNNNNNNNNNNNNNNNNNNNNNNNNNNNNNNNNNNNNNNNNNNNNNNNNNNNNNNNNNNNNNNNNNNNNUAAAAUGACCACCAAAACAAGUAUGAGGACCUGUGAUGAAUUUUUCUCUUCCCUUUCGCUACUUCGAUGAGAGGGUUCUCCCUUUUACUUUCAGGAGGAGAAGGUUUCAUUUUUUUUCUUUUAAAGGAGGAGAAGGUUCAGCGCGACAUGAUUGUUUACAUUCACAGAUUCUUCAAGCCCGUGAGCAAACAGAGUUAGUGGACUGGCGGCACGAGAGCAACUGAGGUAGGUAGGUACCGCCACCACACGUAAUUGCAACUGUGCUUUCCUUCCGGACAGAGACGCCGAGAGGGGCGGCCCAGUGCUCUCUGGCCUGCAUCUUGACUCAAGAUUCUUGAGUGACCUCAGGCAUGCAUGGAUCGGCAGGGUUGAUGUAGUGACCUCAGGCAUGCAUGGAUCGGCAGGUUCGAUGUAUGGUGCUGCCUGAAGUGUCACGGGACAUCUGUAGAUCCGGCCGAUCGAUUUUGAGCAAGACGUGCGUGAAAGCUACGCCGAUUUUGUCUGUUGCCGUCCGUCUGGAGUGGCAUGACCGCAUGACCGUCCGUUCUGACUUUUCGAUUUCUCGGGGCAGCAAGGUUCAGGUACUUUAGAACAUCCGUAUGUUUCACGUUUUCUCGGCGUGAACACACAAUUAAAAAUGAUACUGCGUGGCUGCUAGCUCCCAAGACGUAUUUUUAUAGAAGAAAGCCCAGCUAGAUGAGGCGUCAAAAACAGCUCCGCCGGAUGUUGAACCCUGUGCGCAGGAUGUAUCACUACGACCCAAUAGGCUACUGCCUAGUUCUACAACACUGGAACACAUAACUACUUCCACCUGGUACAUUGUAACUUGUAAGCGCAAACGACGAGCACAUCCACAUCAAGAUCAUGCACCACUAAACGCCGCUCUCCUGUUUUCCAUCUAGUCAACCGAUCGGGGACGCCAAUAAUUGGAACAUACACACAGCGGCGAGUACGGUCUGCGGAUUCGUGCGGGCGACGAUCGGUGGAUGGAUUCGUCCGGUGCAGCAGCUGGACGUGUCGCACCUGCGUGCUCGCGCCCACGGGACGGCGCAUGGUACGAACCGAGGCACGCCGAACACGUGUUUUGUUGGACAGACGUGACUGCCACUUGGUGCGUGCUGCCCAGCUACUCAGCUACUAGUAGCACAGCUUUGCCUCCAUCGGUGCCUGCAGAUCGACUUGCGGUCGAUAGGCUCAAGGACGCUGGUGACUGGUGAGGCAUCCUUUGGUUCUGAGAGUGUUUCCGUGGGGAUGUGACAAGAAAGACCACCCACGGGACGGAAGCAGUGAACUUGGUUUGGAGAGCAAACAAGAACAGAGUGACUGCCUCCAUCCCAAAGAAGAAGAAGAAAAAAAGAGAGAAGAAAGAACAGAGUCACUGUCUAAAAGAGCACCAGGAGUCAAGAGAGCGCGGCCAAAGCAGGUUUGUGGUCUCAACCCUGGUUCGCCCUCGACCUCCAUCGUCUGCUUAAGUCCACAUCACGGNNNNNNNNNNNNNNNNNNNNNNNNNNNNNNNNNNNNNNNNNNNNNNNNNNNNNNNNNNNNNNNNNNGAUUUGGAUGAUAUCCUUGGAAAGCUUGCUGCCCGACGCCAGGAGCUCUGUUAAAUUAAUCUUGCGAGAUCAUCCCGUUAGAGCACUUACAUCCGAACUUUGCAAAUCUGACGCCCUGGACGGGUCCAUGCUUUGGCGGUAAGGGUGGACCAAAAGCUGGUAGCUCGCGAGCAUAAUAAACGCUUCAUAGUCCGGCUCGUUAAGCUCAUGGCUCGCAUCUUAAUAAAUAGAGCCAAUCAUCAAUUUCAANNNNNNNNNNNNNNNNNNNNNNNNNNNNNNNNNNNNNNNNNNNNNNNNNNNGCUUAAUGAGCUUGACGAACGAGCUAACGAGUUUCAUGAAUAGCUCGUUAAGCUCGUUAGUAACAACACAAUUUUUUUAUCUUAUAUGACAAAAUUUAUGUAGCACCUCAACGCAUCUAUUUAAUAUAAUCUAUAUAGAAAGCAACAAACUAGUGAAUUCCUUUUGUAUUCACUAUUUAAAAAAAACCACAUCUACACACUCGUCAUGUAGACCGUCACACAUCAAAAUCUGUUAAUGAACACUCGCGAGCGCUCACGAGCUUAACGAGUUUCAAACAAACCAAACGAGCAUGGUUUUCUACUCGUUAAUCUUAACGAGCUUAACGAGUUUCAAACAAACUGAGCGCGCAUGGUUUUCUACUCGUUAAUCUUAACGAGCUUAACGAGUCGAGCCUUAACGAGCUCGAGCUUAACGAGCCGAGUAACUCGUUAAUCCACCCCUAUUUGGCGGACACUCAUCGGUUAAGCCUUAAAUUUGUCUUUUCACAACCGGACAUCUCGAAUGUCAUAUUUCAAAUUCAUACAAAGUCAUGCAACAACGUUGAUGCAUUAUAUACAUCGUUCGGUUACUCCAUUCACCACUAACGUGUCAUCGGACUAUCAAAAUUUAACAUGUUUAGCUAUGAUGAAAAUCAUCCACGGUUGCAUACCUCCUUCUACUCCUUCUCGCGGAAGUACCGGUUGAAGACGCGGUAAGGAUCGAGCCGGAUUUGCUCGUGGUCGAAGUUGUCCUCACCGUCCCUAACCUCCUUCUUCUCCUUCAAUGGUAGUCUGACCAUUUCACGAACCGCCUGAUUCUCCUCUCGGGCUAGGGCGCGCGUNNNNNNNNNNNNNNNNNNNNNNNNNNNNNNNNNNNNNNNNNNNNNNNNNNNNNNNNNNNNNNNNNNNNNNNNNNNNNNNNNNNNNNNNNNNNNNNNNNNNNNNNNNNNNNNNNNNNNNNNNNNNNNNNNNNNNNNNNNNNNNNNNNNNNNNNNNNNNNNNNNNNNNNNNNNNNNNNNNNNNNNNNNNNNNNNNNNNNNNNNNNNNNNNNNNNNNNNNNNNNNNNNNNNNNNNNNNNNNNNNNNNNNNNNNNNNNNNNNNNNNNNNNNNNNNNNNNNNNNNNNNNNNNNNNNNNNNNNNNNNNNNNNNNNNNNNNNNNNAUAGGAAGUGAUGAGGAGACACGGUACAUAUCUAGAAAAGAUACUAUAGCAAAAAGUUGCGAUAGAACCUGAAAGAAGAAGAACAUGAGUACGUACUGAGUUGCAGCAGCAGGAUUGGUGUUGGCGUUGUCGUUGGCCAUGUUACCAGAGAGGUGGUCGACGUCAGGGAAGUAGUCGUCCUCCGGGAAGAAAUCGUCGGUGUCCGUGAUGGAAGCCAGUAGUCGCGCUGAGCGCUCCCCAAAAACCUUAUCGCCCUUCUCCCGUACAGGACUCGAAGAGACGGAGUUUCGGAGGCCUACUGUCCCGACGAACGUGCACGCUGCAAGACGGGAUGAGGAAGAACGUAGCAGCAGCACAGAGAAAGGAACCGAUGGCGAGAGGAACUUCUGAUGCGUUCUUCUGGAGAGGAGUGACCUCUCUUUUAUAGGCGUAGGAGAAGAAGGAGAGAGACCAGCGACGGGAUACGAAACGAACAGACAGCAGCGAAACUGCAACGUUCUGUUUCAAUAUCCACUAGCAAAACAUUGAGCUUCUCCGAGUGGAGUUUUAAAUACCAGUCGUGCGUGGCAAAAAUUUAGUUCGGCUCGGCUUAUUCCCGCAACCCGCGGCGCAUCGUGACGAGGCGGGCGGCGGAGGAGGAGGAGCGCGCGUGUACGUCUAUUGUUCUCAAGCUCAUACAUGUGUGGAAACAUCCUCCCUUAUAAGGAGGUCCAACUCCCACUAAACUAGCAAUGUGGGACUAAACAUUUCCACCUCUUGCCUUGCACAAAUGGGCUGCGUGGCCUCUAGGAUUUAUUAGGAAUUAUAUAUUGGGUUGGCCCAAAUAAUUGAAUAAAAUUCCAGCAAUCCCCCACGAGAUCCCAGAGGCACACAAAUUUUUUCCUUUGGUUCCAAAACACUGUUUUAUAUACCGAUACUGCAGUGGAUACUGCUAAGUUGAACUUCCACCUAGAACUAUAUGCUACACUAGUAAGCAACUUGAAUAGUGGACUAGGCCUUGAACUGCAAGUUUUCUGCGAAACUAGAUUCACACAGAGGUUUGAUCGAUACUAGGCUACCGUAGGACUUCCCCGCGGGUGGAGCUUAUGCGUCAUACUCCGAGACCUUUCAUGAGUUUACUAGAGAGCACCCUACUCUCAUAGAUUGCGACGUUAACAAUCAGACUCAUAUAGGUAUGUUCUUCAAAAGAUCUUCUACAGGAUAACAUCUCUUCUUCAAUAAGCCACUUAGAACAUAUUAAGAUGUACAUCAACCUGCCAUGCAGUUUUAGGAAAGUAUUGCAUCUUCAUGUAGUGGUAUUAUUAAUGAUAAGGAUACUUUCCUCUCAGUUGACCAACAACUUGUCUUCCACAUCUAAUUCACGGGAUCUCCGAUCACAAAGAAUAGGUUACCACUGUGAACAACUCAAAUUGUGGGUCUCAUACCCAUCUCCCUCGAUGCAUUUUCUAUCACAUUACGUGAUAGACCCUGAGUAAAAGGAUCUGCCAGAUUUUUAGAUGUUUGGAUAUAAUCCAAUGCAAUAACUCUGGAGUUUCUCAUUUUCCUGAUAGAUUUUAACCUUCUCUGAAUGUGUCUUGAUGACUUCAUGUUAUCCUUUGAGCUGCUCACUUUCGUGAUCACUGUUUGAUGGUCGCAGUUCAUAAGGACACCCGGUAUAGGUUUCUCGACAAUCGGCAAGUCACUCAAGAGCCGGCGAAGCCAAUCUGCUUCGACCGUAGCUCUAUCUAGUGAUGUGAGUUUUGCUUCAAUUGUUGACCUUGUUAAGAUCGUUUGCUUGCAAGACUUCCAAGAAACAACGCCACCUCCAUGAGUGAAUAUAUAUCCGCNNNNNNNNNNNNNNNNNNNNNNNNNNNNNNNNNNNNNNNNNNNNNNNNNUCCGCUCGUGGCUUUUAUCUCAUCAGCAUCAGAGAUCCAGUUUGAAUCACUAUACCCUUCAAGCACGUUUGGAUGUCCAGUAUAGUGAAUUCCAUAAUUUGUAGUGCCUUUCAAAUAACACAAAAAUCUCUCUAGAGCUUUCCAAUGCACAUCUCCUGGUUUUGAGACAAACCGACUGAAUUUGCUAACAAAAAAGAGAUGUCAGGUCUUGUAGCACUGGCUAAGUACAUAAGCGAGCCAAUAAUUUGAGAGUAUUUCAAUUGGUCUCUAGCAAUUCUUCGAUUCUUUCGAAGUAGCACGCUUGCAUCAUAUGGUGUGGGAGAGGACUUGCAGUCACUAUACCCAAAGCGACUNNNNNNNNNNNNNNNNNNNNNNNNNNNNNNNCCAAAGCGACUCGAGAUCUUUUCCACAUAGUGAGAUUGAAGCAACGUAAUCUCACCAUCUUCGUCUCUUAACAACUUGAUGUUCAGAAUGACAUCAGCCACUCCUAAAUCCUUCAUCUUAAAACAGUGAGAUAGGAAAUCCUUGACCUCUUUAAUAACGUUCAUAUUUGUUCCGAAAAUCAGUAUGUCAUCAACAUACAAGCAAAGGAUAACUCCCUCGCCCCCACCAUGGCGAUAGUACACACAAUUAUCAGCUUCAUUUACAACAAAGCCUGCAGUUGUGAGAGUCCUUUCAAACUUCUCAUGCCACUGCUUGGGUGCUUGCCUAAGUCCAUAUAAAGACUUCAGGAACUUGCAUACUUUCCCUUCCUGGCCAUCUACUACAAACCCAUCUGGUUGUUCCAUGUAAAUUUCCUCAUCCAACUCUCCAUUUAGGAAAGCAGUCUUAACAUCCAUUUGAUGAACGAGAAGACCAUGUGAGGCGGCUAGUGAAAGUAGUACUCGAAUAGUNNNNNNNNNNNNNNNNNNNNNNNNNNNNNNNNNNNNNNNNNNNNNNNNNNNNNNNNNNNNNNNNGAGUAAGUAUCAAAGAAGUCUUCACCUUCCUUUUGGGUAUAAACCUUAGCCACUAGCCGUGCCUUGUACUUUUCGAUAGUACCAUCACGCCUAAGCUUCUUCUUGAAUACCCAUUUGCAUCCUAUAGGUUUGCACCCAUAAGGACGAUAAGUGAUCUCCCAAGUUUCAUUUGCCAAGAUGGAAUCCAUCUCACUACGGACUGCUUCCUUCCAGUAGUCAGCAUCUUCAGACGCAUAGGCCUCUGAAAUAGAACUGGGAGUAUCGUCUAUGAGAUACACAAGAAAAUCAUCACCAAUGGACUUUGCAGUCCUCUGUAUCUUGCUCCUGGUCGGAACUUCAUUGAUCUCCUCCACAAUAUUUUCAAAGUGUUCCAUCGAAAUGAUAGGUUCACUAAGUGUAACUAGUUCAUGAUUUGAUGAAUUAGGCAUCUCCUGAUUAGAUGAGGUAGCCAUAUCCUUCAUGGGAAAGAUAUCUUCAAAGAAAGUAGCAUCAUUCGACUCCAUGAUUGUACCGACAUGCAUGUUAGAUACCUCAGAUUUUACAACCAAGAAUCUAUAUCCAAUUCUAUGAAAAGCAUAUCCCAGAAAAACACAAUCCACGGUUUUUGGUCCUAGCUUGCGCUUCUUUGGGAUUGGCACAUUAACUUUCGCCAAACAACCCCAGGUUCGUAGAUAAGAAAGUUUUAACCUUUUCUUUUCCCAUUCCUCGAAUGGAGUUAUCUCUUUGUUCUUUGUGGGAACUCGAUUCAGGACAUGACAUGCAGUCAAUAUCGCCUCCCCCCACCAUGCCUUGGAGAGACCCGAUGUAUCUAACAUGGCGUUCACGAAAUCAGUUAGAGUACGGUUCUUUCUUUCGGCUAUUCCAUUUGAUUGAGGUGAAUAGGGAGGCGUCCUCUCAUGAAUUAUACCAUGUUCCGCACAAAAAGAAUCAAAUUCAUUUGAGAAAUACUCUCCACCACGAUCGGACCAAAGCCUCUUGAUCUUUCGAUCAAGUUGGUUUUCUGCUUCAGCUUUAUAGAUCUUGAAAAAGUUCAGAGCCUCAUCCUUAGACUUUAGAAGAUACACUCGACAGUAUCUAGUGGAGUCAUCAAUUAGUGUCAUAAAAUAUUUCUUUCCACCUUUUGUCAAAAUGCCAUUCAUUUCACAUAGAUCUGAAUGUAUGAGCUCUAGUGGUGCAAGAUUUCUCGUUUCAGCAGUCGUAUGAGACUUACGAGGUUGUUUGGCUUGCACACAAACUUGACACUUAGAUCCCUUGACUGUGUUAAAGCUAGGGAUUAAGUUCCAUUUGACUAGUCGCGACAUGCAACCAAAAUUAACAUGACAAAGACGUGAAUGCCACACAUUUGAUUCACUAUUGUUGUAAACAUGAUUAACAACUUUAUUGCAAACGUCUGCCAAGGAUAAACGGAACAUGCCUCCUGACUCGUAGCCCUUACGAACAAAAGUUCCAUACUUGGAUAUUACAAAUUUAUUAGACUCAAAGACAAGCUUGUAGCCAUCUCCACACAAAAGAGAUCCGCUAACAAGAUUUUUAUUCACGGAGGGGACAUAAUGCACGUUCUUCAGCCGCACGACCUUUCCCGAAGCAAACUUCAGAUCGACCGUGCCAACACCACGAACAGAAGCAGGUGAACCGUUGCCCAUCAGGACGGUGGAAGUCCCUGCGGACUGAUAAGAUGAAAACAUGGAAAUAUCACCGCAUAUAUGCACAUUAGCACCCGUGUCGAUCAACCAAUCGGGGAAAUGACAUACUGAAAGAAUAGUGGGUAAUAUACCAUACCCAACAUCUUCCACGUCAGUGUGAGCAAUGACGACAUUAGCAGACUUGCUGCCUUUCCCAUGUUGACACUUGUCAUAACGAUUAGGGCAGUUAGGUGCCCAAUGAUCAGGAUCUCCGCACACAUGACAAACACCUUUCUUAUUAUCAUUCUUCUUCUUGAAGUUGGUGUGCUGUACAGCCUUGUUCUUCCCAUCGAACUUUGCUUUACCAUCAAACUUGCCCUUGUUCUUGAAAUUGUGGGGCUGGAAGUUUUUCUUCUGUACCAGAUUGGCACUAGAACCUCCCUCAAUAGCUCGAGCACGUGUGUCUUUUGCUCUCGCCUUUUCUUCCACAUCAAGAGUACCAGUGAGAUCCGGAACGAAAAACUCCUGUCUCUUGUGCUUCAGUAAGGUAGCAAAGUUCCUCCACGAAGGAGGAAGUUUAGGGAUGAUGCCUCCGGCAACAAACUUGUCGGGUAGCAAGCACUUGAAGUGCUCAAGUUCUAUUGCAAAUGACUGUAUUUCAUGAGCUUGCUCAACCACGGAGCGCUCUUCAGUCAUCCUAUAGUCAUAGAAUUGUUCCAUGAUGUACAGCUCAGUGCCAGCAUCCGAGAAUCCAAACUUGGUCUCAAGUGCAUUCCACAUAUCUUUUCCAUUAUCAAUUGACGCAUAAGCAUCAACUAUGUUCUCACCAAGAACACUCAAAAGAGCAGCCUUAAACAAGAUAUCCAUUUUCUGAAAGGCUAGCUCCUGUUGAGCAUCAUGAUCCUCUUCAGGUUUGCCAAUAGUGGCGUCAUAGCAGCUCAUGGUUUGAAACCAUAAAACAGCUCUCACGCGCCAUCUCUUGUUGUCACGCCCAAGAUGCGACCCUAUCCUCAAUUUGGCACGAAGGCCUCGUCAGGAUAGAAGCGCAUCUCGUCGUGUCGCAAGAAUGGAUAUCGUUACAAGUACAUGUACUGAAAAGAAGAGAUAUAUAUAUAGAGUUGUCUUACACUCGCCACAAGCUACAUCAGAGUUACAGCAGUACAAUACAUAAUCAUCAUGAAGAAGAGUUGGGUCCGACUACGGACGAAAACAAACGAGAAAAGAAGAACGACGUCCAUCCUUGCUAUCCCAGGCUGCCGGCCUGGAACCCAUCCUAGAUCGAUGAAGAAGAAGAAGAAGAAGCAACUCCAAAUGAACAAUCAACGUGCUCGCGUCAAGUAACCUUUACCUGUACCUGCAACUGGUGUUGUAGUAAUCUGUGAGCCACAGGGGACUCAGCAAUCUCAUUUCCAAAGGUAUCAAGACUAGCAAAGCUUAAUGGGUGAGGUAUGGUUAAGUGGUGAGGUUGUAGCAGCGGCUAAGCAUAUAUUUAUGGUGGCUAACUUACGAGUACAAGAAUUAAGAGGGGGAAGAUCUACGCAUAGCGGACGGAAGCUACGGAUGAUCAAACGAAUGAUCCUAAACACCUUCCUACGUCAGACAUAACCCCACCGUGUCCUCGAUCGGAGAAGGAACUCACGAAAGAGACAGUCAUGGUUACGCACACAGUUGGCAUAUUUUAAUUAAGUUAACUUCAAGUUAUCUAGAACCAGUGUUAAACAAAGUUUCCAGGUUGCCACAUAACCGCGGGCACGGCUUUCCGAAAGAUUUAACCCUGCAGGGGUGCUCCAACUAGUCCAUCACAAAUUACCACAAGCCGCAUAGAAAUCCUCAAUCACGAAGCUCGCAAUCUCGUCGGACUCCUUAGUGGAAAACCUCAACUCUCAGAUUACCCAAAGCAUCACCGGAAUCCCGAUGCACAAGAUAUUUCGUCAAAGGUAAAACUAAUCCAGCAAGGCCGCCCGACGUGUCGACGAUCCCGAUAGGAGCCGCGUAUCUCGUUCUCAGGACACAACGGAUGGGUCACACUAGGAGAAACCAAACCUCGGGUUGCCCCACGGUGGCCCCGUAGUCUGCCAAUUUGGACCAACACUCAUGAGGACCACUCGCCCGGGGGUUGAUUAAAUUACUCCGCGGGUGUCGGCGGGGCCCUAUGCAUUUUUAUUAGGUUAUUAGGCAAAUGUAGUACCAAAGUUGGGCCUUGCCAGACCAGCUUUAAUCUAAAACGAAUUAUCAAGGGUGUCCCCAUAACAACCCCGAUCGUGUUAGGAGCGCUCAAUUAUGGAACAUAACAUCGGUAGCUGAAAACUAAGGGGGCAAAGGUGGAACAAAACACCAGGCUAGAAAGGUCGAGCCUUCCACCUUUUACCAAGUAUAUAGGUGCAUUAAAUUUAAUAGAAAUUAAUAUGGUGAUAUGACAAGGAACCCAUGUUAUCACAUGGAAGAAACUACACCUGCAACUAGCAACACUAACACAGGGUUAAGCAAGCAGUAACAUAGUCAAUCAGUGGUUUUCUAGGUCGAACAAGUUGAAGGUUAUCAUGGCAUGAUUGAGAGGUUGAUAUUUAACAUGUGGUAGGCAACGAGACAUGAUCGAUAGAAGCGAUGAAACUAGUAUGGAAAUGAUAGUAAUGGUAUCUGGGGAAAUGGUCAUCUUGCCUGAGAUCCCGCUUGGAAGAAGAACGACUCUGUGAAGCAGACGAACAGAUGUAGUCGAACGGGUCCUCACUUUCCACACGCUUGCGGAACUCUAUCGAGACGAAGCAAACCAGAAACAAGAAUCAACACACGAUAUACACCACGGCACAUGCACGACAAGAUGCAAUCCACAUAUGAUGCAUGAUCCGUUGAAUAUAUGCAAGACAUGACAUGGCUAAUCACAACACUCAAACACUACACAUUAAGUGGAGUUCAAUAUGCAACGAGUUGCAUAUUGACGAAACUCCACAUACGAAUUAUUUAGUUCUAUCCCGACUAGGUACACGGUAAUAUUAUUAGUUCUAUCCCGAUUAGAUACACGGCAACAUUAAAUGUAGUUAAACAUGGCAAGACGUGAAGCGUAAUUAAACUACCUAUUUAGGCAUUUUAAAUGAAGAGGUGAAGCAUAUUUAAUCUACCUAUCUAGGCAUAUUAAAUGAGGUCAGAAAUGACAUAUAGCAUCUCCGAACUGACCUCAUACGUUAAUUUAUAAUUCUGUCCUGAUCUGAACUGCCAUGUUUUAAUAUUUGUUAAACAGCAAAAUAAGUAGGUUCACAUGAUUCUACACGUCGUUCCAAUCAAUUUACACAUAGAGAUCAUCUCCAACGGAGCUAUGGUUCAAAAGAUACGAACACCGCAAGAUAUGAUGGCAUGAAUGCAAUAUGUGUGCAACGACAAUCACAAGCAUUUCAAAACACGCAACCAGCAAGAUAAUAUGAAACUACAUGAGAUUCUAAGCAAGUUUCAUGUAGGACACGAUCAAAUCGGAGCUACGGUUCAACAACUACGAGCAAAACAGGAAAUCACUACAAUCUGCCAAAAUCAGCCACAUAUCAUUCUGCCAAAAUCAGCCACAUAGCAUUUUCUACACCCCACAACAACGAGCUACAUAAUUCCAAAAUGCUCAAACAAGGAAUGAGACAAUAGAGGGCAAGAUGCACUACAACAUACUACUAAUAACAACUAGCAUGGAAGCAUGGAUCACUAGGAAAAGAACUCACAAAACGGCAUCUCACACACAAUUUGAGACUUAGUAAAAAUACCAGUUUAUGACAGUGCAGUUUCGAUCCGAAGGCAUAUUGACAGGAGCAAAACUUUAUGCUACAAGGCUCCAAAUGGCAUGAAAAUCUACAGCAUGCUAGAAAAUAUUACGGACUACAACUAACUCCAUUGCACCAACCUCAAAAGAGCUAUAAAUCACCAGAUAAUCUCAUGACAAAACAACAACAAAAUAUAACAGAUUUCAGCCUUAAAAAUAUUCCAGCAUCUCCAAAUCAACACUAUUUUCUAGCAUGUUGACAACAAGCAAAAAACACCUAAACAUGGAUUUCUAUUGCAACCAAAAUUACCAGAGGCUAGCCUACACAUCCAAGGGCAUAUCACAGUUGACAACUCAUUCAUAUCAUGCACGGAUUAAAUCCCACAAAAUAAACAAAAGGGCAACAUGGCAAAAUAUCACGCGCACUAACUUGCUCAAAAGCUAAAACUAAAUGCACAGUUAAAUUUUAUGGUUUUUUCUAUCCCGAAUAUAUAUAUAAUAUGUGGGGUUGCAAAAUAAAAAUAUCGCCACACGAAUAUGCGAAUUUAUGUCCUAAACAUGAUAUAGCAAACUAACGACGGAAUCCUACAUGCAAAAAUACAAACAACUACUCUAAAAUACAUGGCAAACGGUCCCUAAAAAUAUGAGCAUUUAAACUACGGGAUUUGAGCAAUCCGGACACGCACGAAAAUAGCUACGGAAUAAAUCUCUAUUAGGACAGCAUGCAAAACUAGGUAAACAGCAGGUCAAACCACUCUAAACAUGCAUGCAAGUAGCAAAAUAUUAAUCUACGCGGAAAACUAAUCAAGUUUCGUAUUUAAAACGUUCCGAUCCGAUGCACGAGUAAAAAGAUACGGGCGUUUGAAAUAUCUAUAUAUUCUUGAAAUAAUAAAUUCACGAAGAAAAACCUAAAAUAAACUAAACGGGCCGAAACUAAGAUUUGGCCCGAAUAGGGCAUGAGCGCGAGUUAGCUAUGCUAUGCACGGGACGGGGAAUAGGGGCGACAAGGGCAGCUCACCUUCGUGGCCUUGGGCCAGCGCAUUGGAGAGGGAGGCUGCCUGGCGCUAGCUGGGCCUAGGGCGCGCCUCGGCCGGCUCGGUCACGCUGGAGCAGGCCCAAAGGGGCGAGCUAGGCCUCGUGGGGAGGCCGGCCCACGCAAGCGAUGGGAGAGGCGAGGCGAAACGAGUGCCCCUGCUCGUCUUCCUCCCGAGGCAGGAAGGAACGGCGGUGGCAGCUGGCGAGGAGAGGCGGCCGGAGGGCUGGCGAGGUGCGCUAGGGGCGGCGCCGACGGGAAUGGGGCGAGGCCGACCCGAUCUGGGGCGGGGCUGCCCGGAUCCGGCUGUCCCCGGCGGACUCCGGCGACGAGGCGCAUCUGCGUUCUCGAGAUCCAUGGCGAAGUCCUGCAUGGGAGAAGGGAGAGAGGUGAGGGAGAGAGAGGCCGAGGGAAGAGGAGGAAGGAGAGGGUCCGCAUGGGGUCACCGGGGCUCGGCCUGGGAGCUCAUGGCGGUGCAGGGUUGCCGGCUCCGUUGGCUCGCGACGCAAGGCGGCGGCGCACGGGGGAAGCCGGGGCNNNNNNNNNNNNNNNNNNNNNNNNNNNNNNNNNNNNNNNNNNNNNNNNNNNNNNNNNNNNNNNNNNNNNNNNNNNNNNNNNNNNNNNNNNNNNNNNNNNNNNNNNNNNNNNNNNNNNNNNNNNCGCGGCUAGGGUUUGAGGGGCGCGGGAUUCGAGGUGGGAUUAGGGUUAGGACCAAAUUAGGCAGGGAGGCCUCUCUAUUUAUAGAGAGGGGCUAGGGUUAGUAGAAUUUCGCCCCGGUUUCAACCGUGCGAUCUAAAUCGGACGGUUUCGAAUGGGGGAAAGGCUAAGUGGUUGUGUAGAGUAGGCUAACCGAGGAUGAGAGGGAAAUGGUGUGGCGCGGCAACGCGAUUUUAAACACCAAAAAACAUCCGACGAAUAACCAAAGACGGUGCCGCCAAGGUCGACCGUUUGGGUACCAGACCGACUCCGAUUGCGAUGAAAUUUGGCAGGCGUCCUACCUGUAUCUAACUAAGACCGCACACCAAGUUUCAACACAAUCCGAGAAUAUUUUAAACACACUUUUAAAAACAAGGUUUUGGCAAUGCCGUGGGCGCGUGCGUGUGUGGUCGGGCUCGAGACGGUCAACGACGAAAACAGAGAGAACGGGCAACUAAUAACGGAUGCAAGUUUUGAAAACUGGUGGCAACGGGAUGCCGAUGCAAUGCGGAUGAUGCGCAUGAUGCGAUGAUGCAUGCAGCAAACAAAAUAAUAACACGGCGGUAACGAAAAAAGGGGAAUCUUCUAGAACGUCGAUCUCGGGCUGUCACACCCCCCUCGCCGGUGUGCUUCUUCACCCGAGGCCAACUCUCUGCCUACAUGUAGUUGUAGAGCGGCUACUCCGCAUUGACGUCGUCUUAGAGGGGACGCGACCUCUCACUAGCGCCGAUAUCGAAGUAGUGUGUCGGUCGAGUAUGUUGUUCAUGUCGUGUCCGAGUGUACACGUGUGUACAAUGUCGGAGAUAUGUUUAUUGGACGGGAUGAGACGGAUAUCUACCACACCCAUUCAAUGCCCAUCUGUCCAUAUGCCGCCAUUAAGCAGGCUCGCCGACCGAGGAACCCACUCCGACGCCACGCAUUGACGCAUCCACACGCUUGGCCUCACCGGAAUCCUCUAUUUAUAGGCGUCGACACCCGGCGCCACAUCUACUCCAGAUGCUCCUCCCUUUCACCACAUGUACCAUAACCACAAGCUCUAUCGCUUUGUGUGAAAGCCUAUCAUCGGAGGAAAAUCAUGAGAUGGCCGCCCUUGCAGCCACCUGGUAGACCCGUCAUGCCUGGUGGAUCGAGCACUAAAUGUCGGCUAGCUCGCUUCACGUCUAUUAUUACGACCCUACAAUGGAGACGGGCUCUGACGAUGACACUGCAUCGGACUCCAUGCCUAUGCUUGUCGACUUGACCAUGGAGCAAGAGCAGACGCACUUCGAUGCCGCCAUGCGGAGGAGGAGGAGCCUAGGUUAGCUCCUAUGUCGGCAUCCUAGCAGACACAAGAGGAGCAGUGGUACAGCUUGUUAAUCCUCGAGCAGCACCAGCUCGCAGAGGGCCAAAUCUAUGAUGAGAGCGUAAGCGAGGAGGCUUCCACCAUGCAUGGUUACGAUGAACCCGAACUUUGAUGCGGAGAAGCAGACGCUCUGUAAGGUCGCACAUUCUCAAGGUGCUGCUCGUAAUGCACAUGCGACGUAGCCGAAGGUAGAUGCGCUGGCAACGCAUGCGGUUGAAGACGAUAAUGUUGUUAGUUGUGCGUCCUACGUUGUUAGUUGUUAUUGUUAGGGGUUUACACCAUGUAGACAUCAUAGGUGGAGGUGGCUAUCCACGGUCCAAUGGUGGGAGGGGAGUGGCAUUGACAUCUUUGUCCAAGUCCUCGGCCUCCUUAGAGGCGUAAUCCAACAUAUAGGUUAAAACUUCGAUAGUGGCUACCAAGUGGGUGGUAGAUGGCACGUAAAAUUCCCCAUGGUCUGCCACAAGAUCGAUUCGAGCAUAGGUCAAGAAUGGGUCAUCUAUAAUGUUCAUUGUCUGGAUCUGGGCCAGCGUCUCGUUCAAUAGCGAGAGGUUAGCCGGGUUAGUCUUCUAGAGUCUUUCCCAGGUGACCUCCGGCCCCUCGACACAGGGAGCGUGUCUGGCCAAGGUUGACCCUUGGUUUUCAGACGCUAUGACCGGAUCCGAGCUCAAGGUCAUAUCUGAGGUGAAAAUCGACCCGGAGAAGAGGUCGUCGGGCAGGAGGCCCGAAGUUUAAGCUUCAUGGUUUCCAAGCUCAUCGGGCGAGGCCGAGAGCCACGUAAGGACAAGACCGCCCCGGGCGUCGGCGACGCACACUAAGUUGCCGAACUUGAUCUUCUGCUCUAGGGUGAGGCCGACGAUCUGGUCGAGGUGACCGACCGCAUCAACGUGUAGAACGAUGAUGCCGAACGUGAAGAGAUGGGCGAGGAUGAAGACAUCCUCGGUGUGGAUGUUAUCGCUAAUGACUAAGAAAUCCUUUGGCGAUCCCACAACGGAACUCUCAAUGAAAGCACCAAUGUUAGUGUCAAAACCAAGGGAUCUAGGGUACGGGGUCCCGAGUUGUGGAACUUGGAUCAAUGGGGAACAGGAAACACAAGGUUAGUAUUUACCCAGGUUCGGGCCAUCUCAAAGAUGUAAAAUCCUACAUCCUGCUUGAUUAUAUUGAUGUGUGUAUGACAAUUACAAAGUCGGUCUACCACGAGAUCAGACGAACUAAACCCUAGAUGAUCAGUAUAAUGAUUUUUUUCUCUAUGAUGUAAAUCCUCCGGUUUAUAUAGACAGCAUGGGUACCUAAGGUUACACGUGGNNNNNNNNNNNNNNNNNNNNNNNNNNNNNNNNNNNNNNNNNNNNNNNNNNNNNNNNNNNNNNNNNNNNNNNNNNNNNNNNNNNNNNNNNNNNNNNNNNNNACUCAAGCUUGCAUCGACGUAACCCUUUACGACGAACUCUUUAACCACCUCCAUAAUCGAGAAAAAUUCCUUAGUCUAUUUAGUUACUAAGGAUAACUUUGACCGCUGAUCAGUGAUUCAAUCCUGGAUCACUCUGUGUACCUCUUAACAGACUUGCUGCAAGGCACACAUCAGGUGAGGUACUCAGCAUGGCAUACUUUAGAGUCUACGGCUAAGGCAUAGAAGACGACCUUCGCUAUUCUCUUUAUUCUGCCGUGGUCGGGUUUUGAGUCUUACUCAAAUUCACACCUUACAACGCAACCAAGAACUCCUUCUUUGCUGAUCUAUUUUGAACUCCUUCAAAAACUUGUCAAGGCAUGCAUCUUGUUGAAACUUCUAUUAAGCGCUUUCGAUCUAUCUCCAUAGAUCUUUGAUGCUCAACGUUCAAGUAGCGCAAUCCAGGUAUUCCUUUGAAAAACUCCUUUCAAACAACCUUGUAUGCUUUACAGAAAUUCUACAUUACUUCUGAUCCACAAUAUGUCAACCACAUAUACUUAUCAGAAAUUCUAUAGUGCUCCCACUCACUUCUUUGGAAAUACAAGUUUCUCAUAAACCUUGUACAAACCCAAAAUCUUUGAUCAUCUCAUCAAAGUGUAUAUUCCAACUCCGAGAUGGUUGCACCAGUCCAUUGAAGGAUCGCUGGAGCUUGCAUACUUGCUAGUAUCUUUAGGAUUGACAAAACCUCCUAGUUGUAUCACAUACAAUGUUUGCUCAAGGAAACCGUCGAGGAAACAAUGUUUUGACAUCCUAUGUGUAAUAUUUCAUAAAUAAUGCAGCAACUACUAACAUAAUUCUAACAGACUUUUAGCAUCGCUAUGAGUGAGAAAGUCUCAUCAUAGUCAACUGUUUGAUCUUGUCGGUAACAUCUUUGCGACAAGUCCAACUUUUCUUAAUAGUGACUUAUCACCAUCAUCGUCUGUCUUCCUUUUAGAGAUCCAUCUUUACUCAAUAGUCCUAUGACCAUCAAGUAGUUCUUCCAAAGUCUACACUUUGUUUUCAUACAUGGAUCCUCUCUCGGAUUUCAUGGCCUCCAGCCAUUUGUCGGAAUCCGGGCCCACCAUUGCUUUCUUCAUAACUCGUAGGUUCACUGUUGCUCAACAACAUGACCUCCAAGACAGGGUUACCGUACCACUCUGCAGUAGUACGCGACCUUGUCAACCUACGAGGUUUGUAGUAACUUGAUCCGAUGCUCGAUGAUCACCAUCAUUAGCUUUCACUUCAAUUGGUGUAGGCGCCACAGGAACAACUUCCUGCGCCCUGCUACACACUGGUUGAAGUGAAGGUUCAAUAACCUCAUCAAGUUAUACCACCCUCCCACUCAAUUCUUUCGAGAGAAACCUUUCCUUGAGAAAGGAUCCGUUUCUAGAAACAAACACUUUGCUUUCGGAUCUGAGAUAGGAGAUGUACCCAACUGUUUUGGAUAUCCUAUGAAGAUGCAUUUAUCCGCUUUGGGUUAGAGCUUCUCAGACUGAAACUUUUCACAUAAGUGUCGAAGCCCCAAACUUUCAAGAAACGACGGUUUAGAUUUCUCUAAACCUCAGUCUAUACUUUGUCAUCUCAACGGAAAUACACGGUGCCCUAUUUAAUGUGAAUGUGGUUGUCUCUAAUGCAUAACCCAUAAACGAUAGUGGUAAUUCCAUAAGAGACAUCAUAACAUGCACCAUACCAAAUAGUGCGUGGCUAUGACGUUCAGACACAUCAUCACACUAUGAUGUUCCAGGUGGCAUGAACUGCGAAACAAUUUCCACAUUGUCUUAACUGUGUACCAAAACUCGUAACUCAGAUAUUCAUUUCUAUGAUCAUAUCGUAGACAGUUUGUCCUCUUGUUACGACGAACUUCACUCCUGAAACAGAAUUGAACUUUUCAAUAUUUCAGACUUGUGAUUCAUUAAGUAAAUACUCUUGUAUCUACUCAAAUCGUCAUUGAAGUAAGAACAUAAUAAUAUCCACUACGUGCCUCAGCACCCAUUGGACUGCAUACAUCAAAAUGUAUCACUUCCAACAAGUUACUAUCUUGUUUCAUCUCAAUGAAAACAAGGCCUUGCUCAUGUGGUAUGAUUUGCAUGUCACUAGUGAUUCAAAAUCAAGUGAGUAUAAAGAUCCAUCAGCAUGGAGCCUCUUCAUGCAAUUUAUACCAACAUGACUCAAGCGGUAGUGCCACAAGUAAGUGGUACUAUCAUCAUUACCUCGUAUCUUUUUGGCACCAAUAUCAUGAACAUGUGUAACACUACAAUCGAGAUUCAAUAAACCAUUGAAGGUGAUUAUUUAAGCAAAUAGAGUAACCAUUAUUCUCUUUAAAUGAAUAAUCGUAUUGCAAUAAACACGAUCCAAUCAUGUUCAUGCUUAACGCAAGCACCAAAUAACAAUUAUUUAGGUUUAACACCAAUCCCGAUGGUAGAGGGAGCGUGCGACGUUUGAUCAUAUCAACCUUGGAAACACUUCCAACACGUAUCAUCACCUCGCCUUUAGCUAGUCUCCAUUUAUGACGUAGCUUUCAUUUCGUGUUACUAAUCACUUAGCAACCGAACCGGUAUCCAAUACCCUCGUGCUACUAGGAGUACUAGUAAAGUACACAUCAACAUCAUGUAUAUCAAAUAUACUUCUUUCGACUUUUGCCAACCUUCUUAUCUACCAAGUAUCUAGAGUUGCUAUGCCUCAGUGACAGUUCCCCUCAUAACAGAAGCACUUAGUCCCGGGCUUGGGUUUAAUAUGGGAUCUCUUCAUUAAUGCAGCAACUGCUUUGCCGUUUCACGAAGUAUCCCUUCUAGCCCUUGCCUUUCUCGAAACUUAGUGGUUUUACUAACCAUCAACUAUUGAUGCUCCUUCUUGAUUUCUACUUUCGCAGUGUCAAACAUCGCGAAUCGCUCAAGGAUCAUUGUAUCUAUCCUUGAUAUGUUAUAGUUCAUCACGAAGCUCUCACAGCUUGGUGGCAGUGACUUUGGAGAACCAUCACUAUCUUAUCUGGAAGAUCAACUCCCACUUGAUUCAAGCGAUUGUCGUACUCAGGUAAUCUGAGCACACGCUCAAUGAUUGAGCUUUUCUCCUCUACUUUGUGGACAAAGAAUCUUGUCGGAGGUCUCAUACCUCUUAACAAGGGCACAAGCAUGAAAUCACAAUUUCAUCUCUUUAGAACAUCUCUUAUGUUCCAUGACGUUUCAAAACGUCUUCGCCGCCUUGCUUCUAAGCCAUUAAGUAUUUUGUACUAAACUAUCGUGUAGUCAUCAGAAACGUGUAUGUCGGAUGUUCAUAACAUCUACAGACGACGCUCGAGGUGCAGCACACCGAGUGGUGCAUUAAGGACAUAAGCCUCCAGCGCAGCAACGAGGACAAUCCUCGGUUUUACAGACUCAGUCUGCAAAGUUUUCUACUAUCAACUUUCAACUAAAUUUUCUCUAGGAACAUAUAGAAACAAUAGAGCUAUAGCGCAAGCUACAUCGUAAUUCGCAAAGACCAUUAGACUAUGUUCAUGACAAUUAGUUCAAUUAACCAUAUUAAUUAAGAACUCCCACUCAAAAAGUACAUGUCUCUAGUCAUUUGAGUGGUACAUGAUCCAAAUCCACUAUCUCAAGUCCGAUCAUCACGUGAGUCGAGAAUAGUUUCAGUGGUAAGCAUCUCUAUGCUAAUCAUAUCAACUAUACGAUUCAUGCUCGACCUUUCGGUCUCAUGUGUUCCGAGGCCAUGUCUGCACAUGCUAGGCUCGUCAAGCUUAACCCGAGUAUUCCGCGUGUGCAACUGUUUUGCACCCGUUGUAUGUGAACUUGAGUCUAUCACACCCGAUCAUCACGUGGUGUCUCGAAACGAAGAACUGUCGCAACGGUGCACAGUCGGGGACAACACAAUUUUGUCUUGAAAUUUUAGUGAGAGAUCACCUCAUGAUGCUACCGUCGUUCUAAGCAAGAUAAGGUGCAUAAAGGAUUAACAUCACAUGCAAUUCAUAAGUGACAUGAUAUGGCCAUCAUCAUGUGCUUCUUGAUCUCCAUCACCAAAGCACCGGCACGAUCUUCUUGUCACCGGCGUCACACCAUGAUCUCCAUCAUCAUGAUCUCCACCAACGUGUUGCCAUCGGGGUUGUCGUGCUACUCAUGCUAUUACUACUAAAGCUACGUCCUAGCAAUAUAGUAAACGCAUCUGCAAGCACAAACGUUAGUUUAAAGACAACCCUAUGGCUCCUGCCGGUUGUCGUACCAUCGACGUGCAAGUCGAUAUUAACUAUUACAACAUGAUCAUCUCAUACAUCCAAUAUAUCACAUCACAUCGUUGGCCAUAUCACAUCACAAGCAUACCCUGCAAAAACAAGUUAGAUGUCCUCUAAUUGUUGUUGCAUGUUUUACGUGGUGACCAUGGGUAUCUAGUAGGAUCGCAUCUUACUUACGCAAACACCACAAAGGAGAUAUAUGAAUUGCUAUUUAAACUCAUCCAAGGACCUCCUCGGUCAAAUCCGAUUCAACUAAAGUUGGAGAAACCGACACUCGCCGGUCAUCUUUGAGCAACAGAGUUACUCGUAGCGAUGAAACCAGUCUCUCGUAAGCGUACGAGUAAUGUCGGUCCGAGCCGCUUCGAUCCAACAAUACCGCGGAAUCAAGAAAAGACUAAGGAGGGCAGCAAAACGCACAUCACCGCCCACAAAAACUUUUGUGUUCUACUCGAGAUUACAUCUACGCAUGAACCUAGCUCAUGAUGCCACUGUUGGGGAACGUCGCAUGGGAAACAAAAAAAUUCCUACGCGCACGAAGACCUAUCAUGGUGAUGUCCAUCUACGAGAGGGGAUUUCCGAUCUACGUACCCUUGUAGAUCGCACAGCAGAAGCGUUAGUGAACGCGGUUGAUGUAGUGGAACGUCCUCACGUCCCUCGAUCCGCCCGCGAACCGUCCCACGAACCGUCCCGCGAUCCGUCCCACGAUCCGCUCCGAUCUAGUGCCGAACGGACGGCACUUCCGCGUUCAGCACACGUACAGCUCGACGAUGAUCUCGGCCUUCUUGAUCCAGCAAGAGAGACGGAGAGGUAGAUGAGUUCUCCGGCAGCGUGACGGCGCUCCGGAGGUUGGUGGUGAUCUAAUCUCAGCAGGGCUCCGCCCGAGCUCCGCAGAAACGCGAUCUAGAGGAAAAACUGUGGAGGUAUGUGGUCGGGCUGCCUUGGCAAAAAGUUGUCUCAAAUCAGCCCUAAAAACCCACUAUAUAUAGGAGGGAGGGAGGGGAGGAUGCAGCCUCAAAACCUAAAGGUUUGGCCGAAAUUGGAGGUGGAGGAGUCCUACUCCAAUCCUACUUGGAGUAGGAUUCCACCUUCCCACUUGGAAACUCUUUCCACCUUGUGUUUUUUUCCUUCUCAAACCUUAUGGGCCUUAGUGGGAACUUAUUCCAGCCCACUAGGGGCUAGUUUAUCUCUUCCCAUAGCCCAUGAGACCCCUUGGGGUGUGACACUCCUCCUGAUGGUCCCCGGCACCCCUCCUGGCACUCCCAGUACACUACCGAUGAGCCAGAAACUUUUCCGGUAAUGCACGAAAACCUUCCGGUAACCAAAUGAGGUCAUCCUAUAUAUCAAUCUUCGUUUCCGGACCAUUCCGGAAACCCUCGUGACGUCCGUGAUCUCAUCCGGGACUCCGAACAACAUUCGGUAACCAACCAUAUAACUCAAAUACGCAUAAAACAACGUCAAACCUUAAGUGUGCAGACCCUGCGGGUUCGAGAACUAUGUAGACAUGACCCGAGAGACUCCUCGGUCAAUAUCCAAGAGCGGGACCUGGAUGCCCAUAUUGGAUCCUACAUAUUCUACGAAGAUCUUAUCGUUUGAACCUCAGUGCCAAGGAUUCAUAUAAUCCCGUAUGUCAUUCCCUUUGUCCUUCGGUAUGUUACUUGCCCGAGAUUCGAUCUUCGGUAUCCGCAUACCUAUUUCAAUCUCUUUUACCAGCAAGUCUCUUUACUCAUUCUGUAAUACAAGAUCCCGCAACUUACACUAAGUCACAUUGCUUGCAAGGCUUGUGUGUGAUGUUGUAUUACCGAGUGGGCCCCGAGAUACGUCUCCGUCAUACGGAGUGACAAAUCCCAGUCUUGAUCCAUACUAACUCAACGAACACCUUCGGAGAUACCUGUAGAGCAUCUUUAUAGUCACCCAGUUACAUUGCGACGUUUGAUACACACAAAGCAUUCCUCCGGUGUCAGUGAGUUAUAUGAUCUCAUGGUCAUAGGAACAAAUACUAGACACGCAGGAAACAGUAGCAACAAAAUGACACGAUCAACAUGCUACGUCUGUUAGUUUGGGUCUAGUCCAUCACAUGAUUCUCCUAAUGAUGUGAUCCCGUUAUCAAGUAACAACACUUGCCUGAAACCUUGACCAUCUUUGAUCAACGAACUAGUCAACUAGAGGCUUACUAGGGACAGUGUUUUGUCUAUGUAUCCACACAAGUAUUGUGUUUCCAAUCAAUACAAUUAUAGCAUGGAUAAUAAACGAUUAUCAUGAACAAAUAAAUAUAAUAAUAACUAAUUAUUAUUGCCUCUAGGGCAUAUUUCCAACAGUUUUUCCCUUGAAGAGGAAAGGGUGAUGCAGCACAGGAGCAGUAAGUAUUUCCCUCAGUUUGAGAAGCAAGGUAUCGAUCCAGAAGGAGGGUCUCGUCAAGUCCAGAGUACCUGCGCAAACACAAACAAGCUUGCACCCAACGCUUCAAAGGGGUUGUCAAUCCCUUCAAGAUUGUUUGCAAAGUGAGAUCUGAAGGCGGAAAGUGCAACGAAGUAAAAAGUAUAAGGCUGAAAAUAUGGUGUGUAGUAGACCCUGGGGGCCAUAGUGUUCACUAGAGGCUUCUCUCAAAAUAGAAAAUAUCACGGUGGGUGAACAAAUUACUGUCGAGCAAUUGAUAUAACCGCGCAAAGUCAUGACGAUAUCUAAGGCAAUGAUCAUACAUAUAGGCAUCACGUCCGAGACAAGUAGGCCGAUACUUUCUGCAUCUACUACUAUUACUCCAUACAUCGACCACUAUCCAACAUGCAUCUAGUGUAUUGAGUUCAUGACGAACAGAGUAAUGCCUUAAGCAUGAUGACAUGAUGUAGAGGGAUAAUCUCAAACCAAUGAUGAAAACCCCAUCUUUUUACCCUUGAUGGUAACAACACGAUGUGUGCCUCGCUACCCCUUCUGUCACUGGAGGUCACCGCGCGGUAUGAAACCAAAACCAAGCACUUCUCCCAUUGCAAGAAUCAUAGAUCUAGUUGGCCAGAAAAAACCCACAACUCGAAGAGAAUUACAAGGAUAUGAAAUCAUUCAUAAGAGAGAUCAGAAGAAACUCAAAUAAGAUUCAUAGAUAAUCUGAUCGUAAAUCCACAAUUCAUCGGAUCUCGACAAACACACCGCAAAAUAAGAUUACAUCGGAUAGAUCUCCAUGAAGAUCAUGGAGAACUUUGUAUUGAAGAUCCAAGAGAGAGAAGAAGCCAUCUAGUUACUAGCUAACCCGUAGGUCUAUGGUGAACUACUCACGCAUCAUCGGAGAGGUCAUGGUGUUGAUGAAGAAGCCCUCCAUGUCCGAAUCCCCCCUCCAGCAGGGCACCAGAACGUGCCCCAGAUGGGAUCUUGCGGAGACAGAAGCUUGCGGCGGCGGAAAAGUACUUUCGAUGAUCUCCUGAUUUUUUUGGGACUUUUAGGGAAUAUAUAGGCGCAACCCCUAGGGCAAAGGGCGUCCAGGGGGCCCACAAGCCUGUGGGUCGCGGCCUCCACCCUGGCCGCGGGGUGAGGGCUUGUGGGUCCCCUGAGCCCCCUGCCCUGGCUCUCAAGUCUCCUGAUCUUCUUCCGUUACGGAAAAAUUCUUUUCGGGGAUUUUAUUCCGUUUGGACUCCGUUUCAAAAUCUCCCGUGAAAGGGGUCAAAAACAUGGGAAAAACAGGAACUGGCACUUGGCACUGAGUUAAUAAGUUAGUCCCCAAAAAUGUAUAAAAGGCAUGCAAAACAUCCAAAGUCUGACAAGAUAAUAGCAUGAAACCAUCAAAAAUUAUAGAUACGUUGGAGACGUAUCACGCCGUCUCGAAAAUUCUUGGCGGAGAGCCGGCAGGGGUCGUGCCGGCCGCCCAUCUGGCAUAUCAGAUGCGGCCGCCGCUGCAGAGGCAGGACCCGACGUGAUAUCAUGGUGGCAAGAAAGUCACGAGCCAGAAGGCCUCGAAUCUUCAAGUUAUCAAGGUGGGCGCAUAUUUGCGCCACCUCGACGAUGGGCUUCGAAAGCGUCGCCUUCCAGUUCAGCUUCGCCGUCGACGGAGCAAUGGCGAAUGGGGGCAGGUUGAUGUACUCGCGGGAGGGGUCGACGUUCUUCACAUAGAAGAACCCCUUCAGCCACAUCUUGACGGAAUCCUGCAGCGGCAUCUAUGAGAAGCCGGACAUCGUCCGGUGAUGCACCAGUGAGGUGCCACAAGGGGUCAUCGGCUUGGGGCCUGAAUGCCCCGCCGCCUCGGCCUUGUCCAUCUUCACGGACUGCUGCUUGAAGAAGAACAACUUCUGCCAGAGGUCCAAGCGGGGUUCAAUCCCCAUGAACCCCUAGCAUAGGACAACGAGGGCGACAAGAUGGGGAUGGCGUUGGGCGCCAGAUGAUGCGGCUGCAUGCCGAAGAAGGUAAGAAAGCGAGCGAAGAAGUCACUCGCUGGAAGGCCAAAGCCGCGGUAGAAGUGUUCCUCGAACACUACCACCUCACCCUUCUUGGGGGUCGGGGCUGCUUCGGCGCCGGGCACCCGCGCCGCCAUGAGGUUUGCUGGAGGCAGCAUGCGGCGGUGGCGGAGCGCGUCGAUGUUCCCGUCGCUGAUGUCGCUGCCCACCCAAGCGCCUCGGAACUGCCCCUUCUUAGGGGCGCCGCUUGGACAUGGUGGGUGGCGGCGGAGGCUAAGACGGUCCUGGCGACGACCGACGGCGAUGGCUCGAGCGGCGGUGAAGGCAAUGCAGCGCUCUUCUUUCUCUGGCUCAGGGCAGGAAGGGGCAUUGGUGCGGGGCGAGAAGGGGGCGAAUGGCCUCCUCGACGCCCCCGCAUCCCAUUUAAAACCCCACAAGAGAUCGUGGGGUGGGGAUCCGGUGCGCAUGACUCCCACCUCCUCCGAUUAUUACGGGGGGCAUUUACGCCCCACGGAACCCAAUCGUUGCAGAAGCAAUCCGUAGAGGAUCCGCGCGCGCGAGGGCCGAGGAGGCGUCGUGGCGGGACCCACGGCGCAGGCUCCGCCCCGUCACCUAUACAGUUAAUCAUAGCGUCGGGCCCGGGGCCCGACACGUGGCGCAACAACGCUGCUUGCGGCGAAGCCGAGGCGUUUGUUGAAAGCCAGCCGGCUUCCGACCCGGCACCUCCUGCAACAUGCGACCUAUGAAGAGCAUCAGCAAGGAACUCAAGCCGGCGAGGCCUCCCGCUUUGAGGCGGCGGACCUCCCCUGCUUCGGGGACUAUUGACGGGGGGAUAACCUCGAGGUAGGCUCAUCAAACCUACUCUUUUGCAUCCAAGAGUAAAGGGAAGCAUCAGCUUCUUCUAGACGGUCAACUCUUCUUGGCCGUCUGGAAAGCUCCGGAUGGCUAGGAGCGAGACGACAAUCCUUCCUGGCCGGCUAGAGAGCUCUCGCCGGCUAGGGACGAGACGACACUCCCUCCUGGCCGACUGGGAAGCGCUUGCCGGCUAGGAGCGGGACAACAACUUCAAGGCCGGCUAGCGAGGCCGCUAGCCGGCUAGGAAGCCCUAGUCACAUCCAAACCUAGGCUGGGACUAGACUCUACGAAUAAAGGUGGAUACGCGUCAGCACAUGUACAAGAUUGGGGCGCACGACAGAUACAAUGUCAGCGGCCAUGCCGCUGACCUAGGCCGACUCCGAUCCAUCAAACCAGCACAGUAUAGGCCCAUCAGCACCCACUCCAUUACCAAGCUUGGUG